AUGCAAAAUUACUACACUGCACAUAAAGUCAACGACAAACAUCUUUCUCCUUGCUUCUUGCAUCUUGAGCCUUGAUCAUGGAGUUACUCUACACCAUUCUAGGUCUCUUCAUAUUCUUGAUUGCUGUAAAGUAUCAGUAUCUCCGAAAAAAGAACCGAAAACUGCAGCCUCCAAGUCCUCCAGCUCUUCCAAUUUUGGGCCAUCUUCACCUUGUGAAGACUGCCCCUCACCUUGCCCUGCAAAAGCUCUCCAUCAAAUAUGGUCCCCUGAUUUUCCUUCAUUUUGGGAUUCGUCCUUUCCUUGUUGUUUCCUCGCCAUCUCUUGCAGAGGAAUGCUUAACCAAGACCAAUGAUAUUAUUUUCGCGAACCGGCCUGAGUCAGUUUCCAGUAAAUACCUUGGCUACAACUCAACUAUUCUCAUACUCUCCCCUUAUGGAGAUCACUGGCGAAAUCUCCGCCGAGUCACAACCAUCCAUAUGUUUUCUUCGAUUCGACUCCAGCGUUUCUCCUCCAUCUGGACUGAAGAAAUCCAUUUCAUCAUCAAAAAUUUGUUUUCCAGUAACUCUGAUGAGAAAACCUGGAAAGUUAAGGACAUGAGUUCUUUGUUCCGGGAGUUAUUAUUCAACGUGAUAAUGAAAAUAGUUGCUGGAAAAAGAUGGCCAUCUGAUCAGCCAGGUGAUAUAUUUUCACCGCAAGCACUCACUGAUCUUUGUGAUUAUAUUCCAAUCUUGAGGUGGGUUGGCUAUGGAGGGUUGGAGAAAGGUGUAAUCAGUUUGCACCAGAAGAGGGACGAGUUUCUUCAGGGCCUGAUUGAUCAAACACGUAAAGAGGAAGCAGAAGACGGUUCUUGUUCGACAGAGAGAAGGAAAACAAUUAUUCAAAAAUUGUUAUCUCUACAAGAAGAAGAACCCGAAUACUACACUGACGAAAUUGUUAAAGGAAUUAUACAAGUAAGUCUCUUCUACUUGAAUCUCUUUCUCAAAUUGGUCUAUAAUUCAUUAGGACAAGGUCAUCUCACCCAUGUAGCAGCAGUAGCACAAAUUGUCUUAGCCAUAUUUAGUGGUAGCGCCAAGACUAGUGGUGAGGGAUGCAGUGAUCCACAACCGCAUGCUUUUCAUGGUUGAAAUUGGAUCAUAUUAGCUCGAUUUGAUCUGAAUAUUGAAAUGAUCAAAUUAAACCGUAUCUUGAUGUUGUGGUCUGAUCUGAACUGUAGAAAACACGUCCGACUGUAGAUAGGCACCGGAUCUAGUGGCGGUGAGUGGGGAAAUGGUAUAUGCCACUAACUUCUGUUGGUGUCUAGAUAAGAAAUUUGGUGAAAGUCUUUUCAAAAAUUUGGUCCACAUGUUCGUCAACUUGCAAAUUGGAUAAGUCUUCUUGACGGGAGAGGGGAGAGAUUUGGCGUAGUUUGGCCCAAUUGUUAUAUUUUUUAUAUUAUUUGGUGUGUAAUUAUAUGAUAUUAUUUUAUUUAAAAUAAAAGUGAUAUACAUGAAUACAAUAUUUGAUAUAUAUUUAAUACAAUAUUAUGAUAUAUUCGUACAUCAAAAAAUUUAAACAUUAACUGUGAUGAUAUUUGACAGCGGACAAUAGAAGCAAAUCAGAUUAAGUGAUGAGACGUUAACCGUGAUACUUGUGGCUGGGUUUAAGUCAACGGUGGAGGCUGUGAGAUAGUUUUAGAAUUGGUCGUUCUGAAGGCUCUUUUUGAAAAAUAUACAGAAAAAUGUGCACAAAUCCAAAAUUUAAUCAUGUACAACUCAAGCCACGUCAAGUCGGAAAUUUUUGGACUUUUUUUUUUAAAAAAAAGAACUCUAUCAAUUACUAAAGACAUUUUAAAAAGGUAUUUAAGGCUUAAAUGCAUAAAACUCCCAUGAACUAGUUCACUGGUUGGACUUUACACUCUAAAGUAUUUUAAUAGGCACUUUACACCUAUAGUUAACUAAAAAAAAACAUGAAAAUUAAUUUCAUCCAAAUAAUUGAUGAAAUUAUUAAUUUAUCCUCCAUUAAAACUUAAGUGAUAAAAAUAAUAUUUUGGUGGGGAAGAUUACUAAUUUAAAUAGACUAAUUUUCACUUUAUAUCAAAAAGUCUAAUUGUUAACACAUAAAAAAUCGAUUUGAAUGAGGAUUAAGACUAUUGGGGUCAAAAUGGGGGCAAAAUAUAGAAAUAUUGAGUGAUUACUCUUGCAAUUUUUAUAAUCUCAUAAUUUACUUCAACGCAUCAUAAUGUAGCAAAAUUUCAUUUGAAAUAUUCACAAGCAUAAAAUUGGAGUAGAACCCAAAAAUUUGCAUAUGAAUUUAGCACAAUAAUUGCAAUAAAAUUUCAAUACCGAACCAAAAUUAGAAGCCAUAUAUUAGGAAACAAAAUAUUGGGCUACAAAAUUUUAAUAAAACACCAAAAUUAUUUACUUUUCCUUGACUACAAUCUUUUCUUACCUAGGCUAACUUGAAAUACAUAGUAAAAUAAGGUUGAUGAGAUUCUUGAAUUGAAUUUAUUCAUUUUCUUGUUUUUUCCUGCUUCUUUUGUUUUAAUUGUCAUUCAAAGUGAUCAUAUAUUUUAUUGUUAUAUGUUUCAAAUUAGAAUUUUAUUAUGAAGUGAAAAUUAAUCCAUUUAAAGUGACAAAUUUUUUCUACCAAAAGGGUAUUUUUGUCACUUAAAAGCUUUUAAUGGAGGAAAAAUUGGUCAUCUCAUCAAUUAUUUAGAUGGAGUUAAUUUUCUUAUUAUUUUAAAGUUGACUAAGGGUGAAAAGUGCCUAUUAAAAUAGUUUAGGGUACAAAAUGCAACUAGUGUAAUAGUUCAUGGGGGUUUUCUACAUUUAACCCCCUAUUUAAUUUUGGCUUUUCAGUUUAUACUCUGAACUAUGAAUUGUGAUACUUAAGUAUAAUAUACUAUCAAUUUUGGGGCACAUCGUCCAAAUAAGAUAAAAUCAAUUAAUUCUUUUAGCAACUUUAGAAUAAAAUACUUUAAUACCCCUAAACGAAUUAGAGAAUUUGGACAAACAACAGAUUAAGGAUACUUGAAGCCUUCUAAACUAACUAUAGAAAAAGUUAUUUGGAUUUGACCAAUGGGCCAACAAAAGAACAAGAUACUGAAGUUCUAAAAUUAGCAAUUUAGAGAGUAACAAGCAAAUUGGUGAUAAUUUAGAUGUGAAUAUUGGCAAUAACACCCAAAAAAAGGUAGUUCCUUCAUGCCUUUACAUAUAAUUGAGGUCUAUAGAUAUCACAUGCCAUAAUAUAUAGUUCCCUUCUUAUGUUGACUGGUGGACAUUUAUUUGCGAUCAAUGUCAAAAGUGUAAAUUAUUGAUUCAUGAUCUAUAGCAAGAGAAAUGACAUUAUUUGUCAACAACUUGAUUCUAAAAACUAAUUCCUAUUCUUUUCUUAUUCAUUCAAAAAGUUGCAUUGAAUUUGACUGUACAUUACUUCUUGUGUAGAUAAUGUUAUCAGCCGGAACACAUACUACAUCUCAGACAAUGGAGUGGGCAUUGUCCAGCCUAUUAAAUCACCCUAAUGUACUGCAAAAGGCAAGAGAUGAGCUAGAAAAAAUGCAGCCUGGCCAUCUGCUAAAUGAUUCCGAUCUCUCCAAAUUGCCUUAUUUACGCUGCAUAAUCAACGAGACACUAAGGUUAUUUCCUGCGGCACCAACUCUUGUGCCUCAUUUUUCAUCUGAGGAUUGCACCAUAGGAGGCUACAAGGUUCCAAAAGGUACAACUUUGUUAGUGAAUGCUUGGGCAAUUCACAGGGACCCCAAUGUUUGGGAAGAGCCCAACAAGUAUAAGCCAGAAAGAUUUGAAGGAAUGGAUGAGGGAGGGUGGAAUGAAGGGUUCAAAUUUCUUCCAUUUGGAAAAGGCAGGAGAAUUUGUCCAGGAGCUGCCAUGGCCAUAAGGUUGGUUGGGUUGACAUUGGGCACCCUGAUUCAAUGCUUUGAGUGGGAAAGAGCAGGGCCUGAAAUGGUGGAUUUGGAAGAAAAUCAAGGAGCAACUUUGGGCAAGGCCAAGCCUUUGGAGGCAUCUUACAGGCCACGCCCACCGAUGAUCAAAACAAUUUCUCAGCUUUAAGUUAGAUAUGUUGUUCUAUUGAGAUAAAUUGGGAUUUCUUUUUUUUUUUUUGAAUUUAAAUAUCAAGAUAUGAGUGUCUGAUUUUUGGUUUUGAGCUCCUCUUACAAUUUCAGAUUUGUAGUUGUAACUUUCUUUCAGUACAAGUUGACGCUACAAUUAUACAAACUUAAGUAUUUUACAUGGAAAUGUGGAACAUUAAAUGAUUCCAAUUCUACGUUGCGGAGAAGGAGAUGCAAAGCACAAUCCCACAAGCCAAAAUAAUGAAAACGGUGUGAAGAACCAAAAGGAAACAAUCAUUAUACCAAUACAAUGGUAAUUGCACUACUUUCAAAUUGAGUAUCUUAGUUUGCCCUCAUUGAAGAAUUCAAAGAAUAAGAGUUGAAAGUGACAAUGACUGGAGAAAACUGGCAUCCAUGGAGACCCUAAUGUUUGGGAAGAAGCAAACAAAACGGUGUGAAGAACCAAAAGGAAACAAUCAUUAUACCAAUACAAUGGUAAUUGCACUACUUUCAAAUUGAGUAUCUUAGUUUGCCCUCAUUGAAGAAUUCAAAGAAUAAGAGUUGAAAGUGACAAUGACUGGAGAAAACUGGCAUCCAUGGAGACCCUAAUGUUUGGGAAGAAGCAAACAAGUUUAAGCCGGAAAGAUUUGAAGGGAUUUAUGAUGAAGGGUUCAAUUUUCUUCCAUUUGGAAAUGAGAAGAGAGCUUGUCCAGGAGCCGCUUUGGCUAUGAAGUUAGUUGCAUUGUCAUUGGGCACUUUGAUUCAAUGCUUUGAAUGGGAAUGAAUAGGGCCUGCAAUGAAGGAUUUGGAAGAAAAUAUAGGCUCAAAUGGGGGCCGAGGCCAGCCUUUGGAGUCAUUAUACAAGCCAUGCGAGUGUAUGAUCAACUUGAUCUCUCAGCUUUAGUUAAGUUAGAGAUCGAUGUAGUAUAAUCUGUUCUUCUCUUCACUGAAAUAAAAAGAUUGAAAUAUUUCGUUCCAGAACAUAAAACUGCAAGUGGGGUAAGAAUGUCUAGGAACAAAGAGGAAUAUGGCAUGAAGAAUUAAAUGCUUGAAAGCGAACAUCCUAUGCUCUGCAGUUCAGGCUUUUCAAUCAGUAGAUACAACAAGGUCAUGGAAUCCCUUCCCAUAUUGGCAGUUUCAUGGCAUCUCUUAUCAGUGGUCACAUAUUGAAUAUUCCUAGCAUUCAGACAUUCCAAUUUGACAAAAACAUGCUAUGACAGGGCAACAAAACAAAGAAAUAAAAGAUGCCUUUUCGUAUGCAAAUUGAAUUGAGCUCAUUGUGACAAUUGACAGCCUUUGUUGAUGCCACUACAAUGUCGGGGCAGGCCCACAUAUUUUUGGUAAAUGUUGGGAUGAAGAAUCCCCGUGCACACAGCGGAAGCAAUUCUAACACAUAAAAAAUAUAUGUGAAGAGGAAGAGAACAAACACUCAAUAAUUUAUUUAACUCAAAAUAAAUACUAAGUCGUAGCCUUUCGGUCACAACAACUUACAAAUCUCAACUAUGAAAUUUUCUCUCAGGUCUAAUCUCUAGACUCAACUCAACUCUCCACACAAUAACCUACUAGACUAUUAGUAUUUAUAGACUCCAAAAUUUCCUAAAACAAAUACGGUUGUAAACCAAAACUUAUUUGAAAACUAAUUUGAGAUUUCCUAAUCUAAUAUGAAAACUAAACAAAUAAGAUACCAAAACGAAUUAGGAAACUAAAAUAACUUGGUUUAUUUUCCUACAUUGCCUCCCUUAAACUAAGCUCUUCAAAUUUCACCAUGCUGAGCAUUUUCUUCAAUUUCAUGAACCUCUCCAAUUUGAGUAGUUUUGUCAAAAUAUCAGCUACUUGAUCUUCACUUCUGCAAUAAUCAAUGACAAUUUCUUGCUGUUGAACGAACUCACAAAUAAAAUGAUACUUGAUGUCAAUAUGUUUGCUGCGCCCAUGAAAAAUUGAAUUUUUUGUCAACUCAAUCGCAGACAAACUAUCACAAAAUAUUUUGGUAGGACCAUCUUGCUUGUGUUGUAAGAAUCCAAGCAUUCUCCGCAACCAAAGUGCUUGAGUAGCACUACUUGUGGCCGCCAUGUACUCCUCUUCUGCUGUGGACAAAGCAACCACCUAUUGUUUCUUUGAGGACCAAGAAAAUACACCAGAUCCCAAGUAAAAUGCAUAACCAGAAGUGCUCCUCCUUUGUAUUAUGUCACCAGUCCAAUCAAAGCUUGCAAGUGAGACUGGCGCAGAGAUUCCAUGAAUCUGCUAAUCAAACCAACUCCAUAAGUGAUUCAGGUCUCGUGAAAGUUAAAUACUUGAGACUUCCUACCAACGUCCUAAAGUAAGUAGCAUCAACAAAAUCACCAGUACCAUCUUUGGUUAAUUUCAAUAUUUCUUCAACCAGGGUCAUCAUUGGUUUAGCCACAUCCAUCUUAAACUUCUUUAGAAUAUCACUUGCAUACUUCCUUUGUGAGAUAAAAAUUCCACCAUCCAACUAAUGAACCACAAUACCAAGAAAAUAAGACAUCAAUCCCAAAUCUGUCAUCUCAAAUUGACUAAUCAUGGCCUCCCUGAAUUUAGAAAUUAGUUUGGGAUUAUUGCCUGUAAAUAUCAAGUCAUCCACAUACAAGCAUACAAUAAGGACAUCUCUUCCAAGGUUGAAUUUGAUGUACAGAGUAUGAUCAUAUGGACAUCUCAGAAAACCAUGCUUAAUAAAAUAAGAAUCAAUGCAAGUAUCCUAAGCUCUAGGAGCUUGUUUCAACCCAUACAAUGCCUUUUCCCAUCUAUACACUUUGUUUUAUUGACCAUUUCUAACAUAACCAACAGGCUGCACAACAUAUACCUCUUCUGCCUUUUGCUUAUGGCCUUUGACGACCCUACCUCCUCCUAAGGCGAACCAAGGGGUUCGGCGGACCGCCUACCCAACUCUCGUCAGGACUCGUUCACUCACUUAUAGCUUCAAGAGCAAGUAAGAUGUGCCAAUCAAACUUAACAUAUAUACAAUCAUUAACACAGAUAUACAAUCCUCAAGGUUAAGUACAAAAGCUCAGGAUCCAACCAACUACUAAUACUAUCACUAUUACACAACAAAAGUUCUAGUCAAAAGUUUAGUCUUUCUCUAAUCACCCGUCCUUGCUCAAGAACCCUGUAAGAAAAACAAAAACUAAAGGAAUGAGUUAAAACUCAGUGAGGUUCCCAUGCACAUAAUCAAGCAAUUGAAACAAGGAUAUUAUUCAGUUAAUAACAAUCAAUCGAGAAAACAUUCACAAUAUAAAAACAAUGAGAAUACACUCAUUAAAAGGAUACAUGCUCGCGUGGAGCUAUUCGUUCAAUUAUUCAUUCAUUCAGCUAGUCAUUCUCCUUCAUUUAAUCAUUCAUUUCUUCCCUUAUAAAUUCAACAUUUCCAUUCAUUCAUUUCAUUUCUCGCCACUAGCCAAUUCACUGGCCAAUUCUCCACCAAAUUUCGUGGUCAUACUCGAGUAUACCAAAAAUUAUCUCAAGGUCACCAGUCGCCCGAUCGAGUCCAUUUCUGACUCAAGUCGACUGGCAACAAAGGGCAAGGGUCCAAUUCAGCCAAUGCGGUACCAUACAACCCACAUAGUUUACAUUCAUGCACAGGUAAUGCCCAAUCAGUUAAUCAUUAGAAAUUCACUUUCGCUUAGAUCAAGUGCAAUAAAGUACACACUCGACCAUUGAAAAUCCAUUUAACAGUCAUUGGAAGCCAUUUAACACUCAAUCGAAGAUUCACAACAAGUACACAGUCAUUUAAUACACAAACAUGCAAGAAACACUCACCUUAAACAAGUCACGUUUUAUCAAAAUUUAGUUCAGGGCCGGCAUCUUGGCCACUCCCGAAAUCUGCAGUCAAAUAUUAUCUACAAAGAGCCAAUCAUAUACGAGUGCAAGCUACAUAACUUAUAUUUCUAUAUGAAAGUAAAAAGGCCAGAAAAGGAUAGUAAGUCAUAUAGGCAAGGUGCACGCAUAAUUUGUAAAAGAAAAUGAUCAAAAGCGGUUAAGUUCAAAACCAAUAUGUGCAACUAAAAAUCAUGUUUCGAAUACUUGUUUAGAAUGUUGGAAAUCAGGUUUAGAACACUUGAGAAGUAAAUGUUAAGUCAGAUCAAGGAAACGAAAAACAAGAGAAAUGCAACGAGAAACAAUGAAGAUAGCAGCUUUACCAUCCUUUGGUGUUUUGAUCACAACUGAAGCUACACUUAUCGGCUCGAGAAAAAUUUUAUGAUGUUUCAAAAUAAGACCUAGACUUACAUUUUCUAUGAAGACAUCGACACCCAAUUCUCACAUUUUCAGGGUAAAAAAUGGACAGUCAAAAGCACAUGAAAAACAGGUCAGAAAAAUUAGAGUUUUUGCGCAGUCAGGAGUGCUCUGGCCAAAUUAUAAGCUAAAAUGAUUCAAUUGAUCUAAAAUUUUGCAGGUAGAAAGUUAACUCAAAUCCCAAUAACUUUCAUGUUUUGUCUAAAAGCUGAUUCAGUCUAAAACAUGGAGAAAUUCGCAGCACAAAUUGAUUCCAAAAAUAGGGCAGAGCUGAAAUUCACCAAAUUGUCUAGUUUUCUUUAAAGUUUCAACUCCCAACUCAAACCCAAUCAAGAUUACAUCACUACGCUACCUCCUGUUAACUUAACCCUGGAUACAAAAGUUUUGGCAGCACCUCUCCUAUUUUCAAUCCUUUUCUCCUUGAAAAUCAAGGUGUAAACCACAGUAAUCCCAACACAAUCAAAGCCACAAGAUAUUACAAGGCUUAUUCUAGUCUAUCAAAACCCUUCAAAAUUCACACAAAUAGAAAUUAACCGAAAGACAUCAAAGCUGAAAUUUCCCAAUUCAAGUAAAAAAAUCACUUAUUGAAGUUGUAAACAUGCAUAUCAAAGCUCAAUCACCUUCUAAUACGAUUGGACAACCUAUAUCAAAAUUACAAACUUAACAAAAAUUAAAAUUUCACUUCUUAAGGUAAACUUUGCAUAGAACUAUCACUAAUUGCGAUUAAAAGUUAGAAAUUCCACCUUAACACUAAACUAGCUUCUACUAAUCAUAUACAUGCCAAAUCAAAGAUGAAAUAACUUAUAUAAAAUCUGAAAAAUAUCAAUAAAACUGAAAUUUAUCAUCCCAACCCUAAAAUCACAAGAAUCUCCAAAAAAUCAAUAAAAAUCAAGUUAUCCAACAACUUAAUCACAAGAUUAAAGAACAAAAGGAGCUUCUAAUGAUUACACCUUCCAACACCCUGAAAACAAGCAAAACAAAUCCUUUUCUUCUCAAAAUACUCCACCCUUAGUUUGCUAUCACCUUAGAUGCAAAGUUAAUCGGAGUAGUUUUUGGCAAUUGGAAGAAAUCUCUCAAGAUUUGGUAAAGGAAAUCAAAGGAAAAAUGGACUUAACUUGCUUGGUUUUACUCCUCUUGAGGUUCGGCCAGCUCGGAGAAGAAAGAAUGAAGAGUUUUUGUGUUCCAAAUGAAGUGAUAAAUAUAAAGACUUAAGGGUCCGUUUGGAUUCUUGUUGUUUGGCCUGUUUUUGAAAAACUGUUUUUCACAAUCCAAAUGCUACAGUAAAUGUGUAUUUCAAAAACAACUCCAAAAACACCAUAUCCAAACAAUAUAUUAAAAACAACUCCAAAUACAUAUUUAAUAUGUUUAUUUCAAUUUGUAUAUUUCAAUUAUGCAUAGGAUAUUUAUAUAGUAUAUUAAUUUAAAUAUAUUUAUUUAUACAUAUUAUAAAUAUUUUAUUUUAUAUAAAAUAUAUUUUUAUAUAUUUAUAUAAAUAUUAUAUAUUAUAUAAAUUAUAUAUAUUAUAAAUAUGUUAUUAUACAUUUAUAUAAAUGUUAUAUAUUAUAUAUAUUUAAUAUAUACAUAAUAUAUAUUAUAUAUAUUGAACAUUUAUAUAAAUGUACAUUUAAACAUAAUAUAUAUUUAUGUAUAUUUAUAAUAUACAUUUAUAUUAUGUAUUAUAUAUAAUAUAAUACAUUUAUACAUUUAUAUUAAUAUACAUAAUAUUAAUUAUAUAUUUAUACAUAAUAUUAAUAAAUUUAUACAUUUAUAUUUAUUACAUUAAUACAUUAAUACAUAAUAUUAAUAUAUAUUUAUAAUAUAUUAAUUUAUAGAUUUAUAUAAUAUUCAUUUAUAAUUUAUACAUUUAUAAAUAUAUUUAUAUUAUGUAUUAUAUAUAAUAUAAUACACUUAUAAUACAUUUAUAUAUUUAUUUAUAAAUAUAAUAUAUAAUAAAUAAAUAUAAUACGCUUAUUUAUUUAUAUAUAAUAUAUAAAUUUAUUUAUAAAUAUAAUACACUUAUUUAUUUAUACAUAAUAUAUAAAUAUAUUUAUUUAUAAAUAUUUAUAAUUGUAUUAUAAAUGCAUAAAUGUAUAUAAAUAUAAAAACAUAAAAAUUAUAAAUUAUAAUAUACAUUUAUAUAAUAUUCAUUUAUAAUUUAUACAUUUGUACAUUUAUAAAUAUAUUUAUAUUAUGUAUUAUAUAUAAUAUAAUACAUUUAUAUUUUUUUAUAUAAAUAUAUUUAUUUAUAAAUGUAUAAUUGUAUAUUGUUAUAAAAAUUAAAAAUUAUAAAAAUACUCGAAAAUAUGUUUUAAAAAUACAUCUAUAAAUAAUCUAUAAAACAUCUACAGUAAAAGUUUUUUAUAUAAUUUUUGAAAAACAACCCAAAAAACAACUAAUCCAAACGGACUUGUAUUUGAAAAACGAAAUGCUACAGUGCUAUUUUUGAAAAACAAUCCAAAAAACAGCUAAUCCAAACGGACCCUAAGUGUUCCAAGACUAAAUAAAAAUGCGACACGUGGCACUAUUUUGAUUAUUACUUAUCUCGUGAUCUUUUUUCUUAGUUUUUUAUCAAUCAUUUAUGUGGUGCUCCUCUAACUCACUCUUAACACUUCUAGGCAUAUAUUUCUUGGUAUAUAACAUCCGUUCAUGUCCACUAAAUUUAAUAUACACUUACUAGUGAGUCACACUACCAAAAUGUAAUAUAACUAAACACGCACCACAAUAUAAAGUAAACAAUUAAAAUUUAACACAACCAUAAAAAUACCUUAUAAAUUAAAGGAUUUAAACUAGAGUAUGUCAAAAUAUUAUUGAACGCAUGCAAAACGAGAAAAGAAUUUAAAAUUUUUUUUUUCAAAAUUUCAUAAUCUCUCCCCUUAAAAAAAUUUCGUUCUCGAAAUUCUAACCUUCAUAAGAUUUUGGAACGGGUUGUUGAUCCAAAGAGUAUACUCUAGUUGAUGCCCUGGAUCUAUUUCCUCUUUCUUGGUUUGGCUUAGAAGUAAUCAGAUCUCUUUAUUGUUCAUUCAACCUUCUUUGUUGCUUUUUCGGACAAUUGUGAAGUACUUGAUGAUCAGCACUUUCACAUAUCAAGCAUUUCUUUCCCUUUAUCCAGCAUGCAUCCUAAGUAUGAUUUAUUUUUUCACAGUAACCACAAGCUAAUCGAGGAACUUCUAUUGGAUUUUUUAAAGAGACUUCCUCUUGUCGUCCUCUUCCUACCUGACUUUCCAUUGUUGAACUUCUCUCAUAUUAUCCUUGCAUCCAUGGUGGGUAAGAUAGAAGGAUUACUCUUCUAGCUUUGGAAGGUGGUAGGGUGUCCUUAAGUUCCUCAGACUCACUAUUCGGUGCACUUCUUUUUCGUGUUUGAAAUACUUUUACUUGCGCCCUUGCAAUUUCAACCCUUUGAACUUUCUCAAGAACUUUUGUGAACGUAGUGAUUUGAGCCGCCGCAACAGCUUUCUGGAUUUUCACAUUUAAUCCCUGUACAAACUGCCUUACUCUUCUUUGCUCCGGAGUUACUAAUUCAGGGAUAAAUUUAGAUAAUUUAGUGAAUUGAGUUUCAUAUUCUGACACACUCAAGGCUCCUUGACGUAAUCUAAUGAAAUCGUCCUCCCUUUUUUCUUGGACUAAGGGCGGAAGGUAUUUCUCAUUAAAUUCCCAUAUUAAAUGUACCCAAGUUCGCGCUAUUUGUUCCCUCUCCCACUUAGCUCUAAUCACAUUCCACAAAGCACGAGUUGACCCUUCAAAUUGAAAUACCGCAAAAGUCGCCUGUCUCCCCUCUGAAUAAUUUAGCGCGGCAAAAAUAUUAAUCAUUUGUUCUAACCAAUUCUUGGUUGCCUCCGGAUUAGAUCCUCCAAGAAAUUUAGGAGGAGAAAACUUCUGAAAAGACUCUAGGGCCCUAUCCCCUCCCCCCUCAGAUUCUCUGGGUUGGUUAACAGGUGCUUGCCCUUGUUGUUCCACUAAACGCGCCAAAAUAUCGGUCAUUCGUUGUAUGGCUGUUGCUACCUGAUCCCCUGUUUCAGCCUGUGGUUCAUGUUGUUGUUUAGCUGCCACUUCUCUUUCUUCUCUUGGUUCUUGAGCUUGCCUAACCCUACGUCCAUGAUUAACCCCUCGUCCUCGGUUUCUUCGUCCAUCCAUACCUUUUUUUUUAUAAACUAUAUACAUGUAUGAGCAAAAAAAGAUCAGCUAUAUAUAUAGAAUAAGAAUAAAAUAACAUAGGCCAAAAAUGAGAAAUACCCUUAGAAUGCAUAACACAAAAAAUUCACAAGCUAAAUCACAAAAAUAUUGUACAUAUCAUCCUACCAAAAUCAAGUUCACAAAACAUGUCUAGUAUACUAUACAUAUCAGUCCGCAAUAUGGCAAACACAUACAUACAUACAUGCAGAACAAAACAAGAGACAACGAUUUUUCAAUUUCUCCAAGGGUAAAUUCUAAACCCCAAGUUCAUCCGUCAAAGAAAGUUCAAAAGAUCUCUACUAAAGCAAUCGCCCCAAAAAUUAUAUCUAAUUUCUUAUAAAUGCAAAUGAAUAUCAAAACUCUAAAGGAUACCUUAAUGAUCUUUAAAGUCAAAGUCAGUCCCAUAGUUGUUCAAAUAGUAUCGUUGUUCAAGAAACUGAUCCAUUACUCUUCAAAUCAAUCUCACACAAUUCUCUUCUCUUCUCGCUAAUCCAAUAUAAAAACCCUCAAACAUCAAAUCUUGUUAUCCAUCAGGAACAUAACUGCUUAAUAUUGCACUUAAACUUUACAAUACCCCACAGUCCAGCAUUUUAAACUUUAAUCUUAUGAUACACUACAGAGAUCUAAAAUCUAAACUCUGAUACCAACUGUGACGACCUCAUCUCCUCCUAAGGCGAACCAAGGGGUUCAGCGGAAUGCCUGCUGUGGAGACCCCACUUCCCCCUAAGGCGAACCAAAGGGUUGGCGGGCCGUCUGCCCAGCUCUCGCCAGGACUCACGCAAGCAUUCUAGCUUAAAAUCCUCCAGGGAUUAACCUAAACUACUACAAAAAUAAUUCUUCCGAAAUAAAUCAAUUUCUAUCACCUCAUUAGCUUCAGAGAUAACGGCAUACAACUUAGCCAAACGACGGCUCUUAACCACUUCACACGUUACUCGCAAGGUUAAAGACAUACUAUACUAAUAAAAACAUACAAACCGAAUAUUAGAAUUUGGGAUUACAUUUUUCCAGCUUCAAGUGGCAACCAAAAUAAAAGGUACAGUACUUAACGUAGAAUUCAUUACAAACCGAAAUCUAAAUUCAAGCUAUUCAAAUACAUUCAUAGGAAAUAUAAGCAGCUCAAAUUCUUUCAACUUCCAGACCUGUAAGGAAAACAAAUAAUCGUGGGGUGAGCUAAAGCUCAGUGGUGCCCCAAAACAUGCAUUCACAUAAAUCAAACAGCGAGAAAUAACUUAAACAAAUUGAACAGUUAGGAAAGCGUAUAACAACACAAGGUAGGAUACAAGGGCUCUCAGGAGCCAUUUUCCUCGCUUGAUCGCCAUUCAUCGUAGUUGACCCUCCGUCAACUCUCACUACUUAUAGUCCAUGUAGAUCCACUCAUUUUAAUCCUAACCCGUCACCAUUCAUACCCCGGUCUUGGGCCCGAACGUCGACUAAGGACGCAGUAUACUCGAGAUAUACCCGUAGAUAAUUGGUCGAGGGAUUCACCCAACGACUUUUUUUUUUUUUUUUUUUGUAGUUCGAUUCAAGUGCCGAGGGAUUCACCCAACGACGUAACUACUUUUAGAUUCAGGGAUUCACGAGAAAAAUGAUUCACUCAAGUCACCACUCGAACGGCUAGUGCGAUAAAGUACCCACUGCUCACUUCGAUGGAUCAAAAACUCGUUUUGCAAUUUAUCAUAUAUCGAGUCAAGAAAGCACUUAAUUCAGGUAGGAAAAGAACAGGUAGGGACACUCACCAAGAGUGGAGUUCAGAUAUCAGGUUGGGAAUCGAAUUCCGCGUCCUCGCGAUAUCCUAAAAACCAGAUUUUGAAACUAUAAGUUUCUAUUCAGUUUUUAAACUUAUUCGUAUAAGAAUUUAUUUAAUAUAAUAUUAGUUUACUUCCUCAAGAGAUUUUCAAAAAUCUAUUUAGAUUGAAACUUGACAAAAGUAGUAAAAGUGUUCCUUAUUUUUAUCCUUAGAGGUGGGUAACUAGUAUCCUUUUCUUAAAAUAAGUUGACAAAUCUUUAAACAAUAAUGUUAGAAAGUUACUUUGAACAUUCCCUAAAGUUACGGCUUUUGUAAAAAUUAUCCUUAAAAACUAUUUUUCUUAAAAUAGGGUUUCUUGCUGAGCAAGUCUCCCAAGCUUUUCACUAAAAUUGGUAAAGCUCGUAUUUUGGAACUUUUCCUAUAGUUAACUAUUCCAAGUGCAAAGCUUAAAGAAAGAAAAAGAAUUAAAAUAAGACUUAGAGUUUCCAAAAACUAUUUAACUUAUUUACUAUAGCGAUCAAGGCUAAUUUGAGCUAAAGGAAUUUAUCGAGUUGGAAAGUUUUAGGCAAAACACUAAAUAUGGAGUUUUAUAGUAUAAUGCUAGCUGGAAAAUAUUUUUGAUUAAUUUUGAUCACAACUACUCGAGUUCGCAAGGUCGAUAUAACUUCCACAGCUCCGAUUCCUUUUCGAAGACAUAUUAUGGACCAAAAUAUGGCAAAAAUCACAUAGCAAAUUACUAGGGCUUCGUCAAUCAUUAGCCCUAGCUUUAGGCAAUUGAAAUUCUGAAUAAAAUAAAAUGAUCAACCAAGGCUUCAUCAAUCAUUAGCACUUGGUUUCAGCAAACCCAUCAUAAGCAAGUAAAAAUAAAAGUAAAGCCCCAAGACAUUCCAGCAAUUAACUUCCAUCAUUCAGUAGUACUUUAUAAAUUCAUUCCAAUGGCCAAGGGCUUCAUCAAUCAUUAGCCCUGGACAACAUCAAUCACUCCCAACCACAAUUUAGCCAAGAAUUUAAACCACAAGUAAGCUAAAAUCUCAGUCCAAAUCCAACUUUAGUUUCACAAGGAAAUCAGACAUUCAUACCAGGCAAUCUACUUUGAGGAGUCACGAAUAGCAGUAUACAUGGCGGAAAAAUAUAAAAUUUUUACAGAACAAAGGCCCAUGAGUCUAUUUUCAUAUGCCACUGACGGCACCUCAAUCGGAUUUUCCUACACCAAGAUAUAUGCAUUUUGCCUAGACUGGUCAGAAGUUCCGAAAAUCUGGAAGCUCUUGAUCACAUGUGGAAAAGCUCCUUUUUCUCUUUUUAAAACCACAAGGCUUUUAGUCUAACCAUCCAUACGACUCUAGUAGAAUUUUAGCACCACAUUUUCUAGACAAUUUCAACCAUUAUAAAUUCAAAGAAAGUUUCACAAUCAAGCUGGAAUUUUUAACUCAAACUUUGGCGAUCACAAGGAAAAUUUCCAACAGUUGUAUAUCCAUGUUUUUGGUUAAAUCUUUCAAAAUAUCAAAUGACUCAUUGCCAAAUAGCUUUCACAGAUUACAUGUACAUUUUGUCAUGCAUUUCGAGAUCCUAACAUCCCAAGGAAAAAAAUUCCAGGAACCACUUAAAAAAAUUCCAAGUUCAAGUUCACUGCGUUUCACAAAGAAAUUCCAGCAAUAACAAUGGUUCUAAACAGAAUUUUCUUUGGUUAAAACAGAAUUUUUUUUUUGGUACUCUAUUAGGACAUGCAAACACGUAGUUAGCUAGUAAAGGUUUCCAAAUUCAAACUACAAUUACACACAUCUAACACAAAUCCAGAAAUUAUAUCAGCUAGUCUCGAAUGAUCAUUCAUGAACCAAUUUUUCUGCUUUCAUUUUAUUUUCUUGAUUAGCCGAACUACUUGACCCUAUGCAAGCUUUAAUUAACAUGUUGUUAACUAGUUAAUCGUAUAAAUCAACUCAUAUCAUCACCAUAAGACAGAUUGAUAAUUAAAUAUCAAAUUUAAGGUCUCGGAAAUUUUCAGCUCAUAAGAAUUUCCAAUUCAUCAAACCAUAAUUUCUUAGGUUCCUUAAUUCAUCAAUCAACUUCAUAGAAUUAACAUGCAGGGUCCUAGACAUCAUAAACAUUAAGUUCCACUCGGCUAAUUACACUUGAGUGCUCAGGUUAUCACAAGAAAACAUAAUUUCAGUUGCACUUCCAAACCAUUCUCUCGGCAGAAUCAUUCUCAACAAAACAGAAUUUUCUAAGCUCCUUAGUUCAUCAUCCAAUAUUUUCUUCAGUUAAAGCCUUUUAUUUUGCCCUUAAUUCUCACAUGCACAAUUGCUGAGUUAAUUAGCUAACAUCCAGACCAGAAAAUCAGCUCGGCAGCAGCAAAACACAUUCAUAAUUCCAGAAUUUGGUGAGACUACACUCGGAUGAGUUUGCAUGUGAAAAGUCCUGUUUCAUUUUUAUUUCCAAGGUAAUCCAGGCUAAUUAAAUUCAUGCAUGACCCUAAUCAUAAUAAUCAUCCAAGAUUUGAUUAGUUAAUCACCAAAGCAUGCUCAAAUCAUUUCCGGAAAACACAUUAGAGCUGCAAUUCCAACUCAGCUAUUCGGCAGGGACAUUUAACCAAAACAGAAAUUUUUCUAAUAACUUGAUUUCAUCAACCGAUUGUACCACAAUACAUGCAUGCUUCAAGAUAGCUCAAACUACCUCUGAUUAGUCCUAAAAUGAUCCAGAAUUUUACCUCACCGCAAGCUAAUCUUUCACACGAAAAUCUGGAAAAUUUUUCUUCCUCUCGGCUCUCACGCACGCGGCAGUGAUUGUGGUUGUGGUUGUCGGUGGAGCUGGUGGUGUCGCAGCCGUGAAGUUGGGUGCAAUGGAGGUGCAGAAUGUGUGGAGCUUGCUCACGGUUUCUCUCUGCCUUCACUCCAGCUUACGGCCAGAACCAAACAGAAAGAAGAUUGCAGUUCGCGUUCUUCUUUGUCGAUGAUAGCGAGACGGAGAGGGAAUGUGUUUGUGGAGAGGAAAUGAGAUUGUGGCUUGAGAUAUGAAAGGGAGAGAAAGGUGUAUGGUGCCGGUUUAGGAGAAGAGGUUGAGUGUUAGCAAAGAUUGUGUACUGUAGUGGUGAAGAUGCCGGUUGGUCAGCUAAGGUGGUGGUAUGUUGAAGUGGUGAAGGAUGGGGUUGGCCGGCUGGGGUGGUGGCUGAUCAUGCUGUCCGAGGAGUUGUUUGGCUGUGCAUGGAAUGGUUGUGGUGUAGUGGAGGGUAGUUUAGUCUUUUCACUUCUCCUCCUAUUAUUCACUUAAGUCCUUAGUUCUAACUUAGCUCCAAAAAUUAUCCCCAAGUGUGAUUUGAACGCCUAAUGAUUCGCUAAUCUUGCAAAGCUUUGGUUAUCGAAAUUUUAUGUCCUAAAUAUGGUUAGAGUACUUGUAUUGAUUUUAUCUAGAAUUUACCGGUUGCAUAAACAUAUAGAGAUAUCUAGCUACACUUAACCUUAUUCGAAAUUAGAAUUAGCUAUAUAACAAAAUUAAGGAAUUAUUUUCAAGGAGUAAACUUAAUAUAACUCAAGAAUUAUUAACUUAGUGUAGCAAAGCUAAGUGCUUUAAUAGUUAGCACCGUUAUAUUAUUUUGCACACGAAAAUUAUUUUUAUUUACUUGUUUAAAACAAAUGAAAUAGUGUGGUAGAUUGGAAUAAGAACUACGAAUGAAAUAUGCACUAGUAUAUAAAAGCGAGUGAAAGUAAUACUAGAAUAAAGAAUACGAAUGCUAAAUAAAAGUGAAAUUGAAGUAUGCAUUGGUAUUUCUGCAAAAUUCAAGGUUCUCACACCUGCCCAACUCUCGCCAUAACUCGUUCACUCACUUUUCGCUUCAAGAGCAAGUAAAGAUGUGCCAAUCAAACUUAACAUAUAUACAACAAUUAACAUAGAUAUACAAUGAUCAAGGUUAAGUACAAAAGCUCAGGAUCCAACUAACUACUAUUACUAUCACUAUUACACAACAAAAGUUUUAGUCAAAAGUGUAGUCUUUCUCUAAUCACCCGUCCUUGCUCAAGAACCCUGUAAGGAAAACAAAAACUAAAGGAAUGAGCUAAAGUUCGGUUCCCAUGCACAUAUGAAAACAAGGACAUUAUUCAGUUAAUAACAAUCAAUCGAGAAAAUAUUUACAAUAUAAAAACAAUGAGAACACACUCAUUAAAAGGAUACAUGCUCACGAGGAGCCAUUCGUUCAAUCAUUCAUUCAUUCAGCCAGUCAUUCUCUUUCAUUCAAUCGUUCAUUUCUUCUCUUAUAACAUCAACAUUUCCAUUCAUCCAUUUCAUUUCCCGCCACUAGCCAAUUCACUGGCCAGUUCUCCAUCAAAUUUCGUGGUCAUACUCGAGUAUACCAAACAUUAUCCCAGGGUCACCACUCACCCGACCGAAUCCAUUUCUGGCUCGAGUCACUGGCAAUGAAGGGCAAGGGUCCAAUUUUGCCAAUGCGGUACCAUACAACCCGCAUAACUUACAUUCAUGCACAAGUAAUGUUCAAUCAGUUAAUCAUUUGAAAAUUCACUUUCGCUUAGGUCAAGUGCGAUAAAGUACACAUUCGACCAUUAAAAAUCCAUUUAAUAGUCAUUGGAAGGUAUUUAACACUCAAUCGAAGAUUCGCAACAAGUACAUGGUCAUUUAACACACAAACAUGCAAGAAACACUCACCCUAAACAAGUCGCGUUUUAUCAAAAUUCAGUUCAGGGCCAGCACUUUGGCCACUCUAGAAAUUUACAGUCAAAUAUUGUCCACAAAGAGCAAAUCAUACACCAGUGCAAACUGCAUAACUUAUAUUUCUAUAUCAAAAGAAAAAGGCAUGAAAAGUAUAAUGAGUCAUAUAGGCAAGGUGCACGCAUAAUUUGUAAAAGAAAAUAAAAAAAAACGGUUAAUUUCAAAACCAAUAUGAGCAACUAAAAGCAAUAUUUUGAAUACUUGUUUAGAAUGUUAGAAAUCAGGUUUAGAACACUUGAGAAGUACAUGUUAAGACGGACGAAGGAAACGGAAAACAAGAGAAAGGCAACGAGAAACAAUGAAGAUGACAGCUUUGCCAUCCUUUGGUUUUUUGAACACCACUGAAGCUACACUUAUCGGAUCGAGACAAAUUUUAUGACGUUUCGAAACUAAGACCUAGACCUACAUUUUCUAUGAAGAUAUCGACACUCAAUUCUCACAUUUUUAGGGUAAAAAAUGGACAGUCAGAAGUACAUGAAAAAUAGGUCAGAAAAAUUAGAGUUUGUGCGCAGUCAGGAGUGCUAUGGCCAAAUUAUAAGCUAAAAUAAUCCAAUUGAUCUGAAAUUUUGCAGGUAAAAAUUUAACUCAAAUCCCUAUAAUUUUCAUGUUUUGUCCAAAAGUUGAUCCAAUCUAAAACAUGGAGAAAUUCGUAGCCCAAAUUGAUUCCAAAAACAGGGUAGAACUGAAAUUCACCAAAUUGUUUAGUUUUCUUCCAAGUUUCAACUCCCAACUCAAACCCAAUCAAGAUUACAUCACUACGCUACCUCUUGUUAACUUAACCCUGGAUACAAAAGUUUCGGCAGCACCUCUCCUAUUUUCGAUCCUUUUCCCCUUGAAAAUCAAGAUGUAAACCACAGCAAUCCCAACACAAUCAAAGCCACAAGAUGUUACAAGCCUUAUUCUAGUCUAUCAAAACCCUUCAAAAUUCACACAAAUAGAGAUUAAUCGAAAGACAUCAAAGCUGAAAUUUCCCAAUUCAAGUAAAAAAAUCACUUAUUGAAGUUGUAAACAUGCAUAUCAAAGUUCAAUCACCUUCUAAUACGAUUGGACAACCUAUAUCAAAAUUACAAACUUGAAAAAAAUUGAAAUUUCACUUCUUAAGGUAAAUUUUGCAUAUAACCAUCACUAAUUGUGAUUAAAAGCUUGAAAUUCCACCUUAACACUAAACUAACUUCUACUAAUCAUAUACGGGAAAGUGCUGGUUUUCAUCCCCAAACUUUGGGGUAAGUACACAUUUCGUCCCUCAACUUUUGGACACGACACAUUUGAUGUCUGAAUUAAUAAUUUUUUACCAAUGUCAUCCUCAAACGGCAAUUUAGCCAAUUUUUAACGGAACUGGUCACGUGAAAAUCACAUGACCGUUAAGUAAACUUAAAUCACAUUUUUAACAAAACCUACCAGUUUUUCAUAAAGAGCUAGUAUGUUAUGGGCAAUUUAUUAUUUUUUUUAAAUUUCACAUAUUUAAUUUAUGUUAAAUACAAAACAUACUAGUUUUCUUUUGAGCGCUAUUUAACCAAUUUUUCCUAUAAAAAGUUGGUAUGUUUUCCAUAAAGAGCUGGUACAAAACAUACUACAAAACCUGCCAGUUUCCCAUAAAGAACUGGUAUGUUAUGAGCAAUUUAUUAUUAUUUUUUUAACUUUCACAUAUUUAAUUUAUGUUAAAUACAAAACAUACUAGUUUUCCUUUGAGCGCUAUUUAACCAAUUUUUCCUAUAAUGAUCUGGUAUGUUUCUCAUAAAGAUUUGGUACAAAACAUACUACAAAACCUGCCAGUUUCCCAUAAAGAGCUGGUAUGUUAUGGCAAUUAAUUUUUUUUAAUUUUCACAUAUUUAAUUUAUGUUAAAUACAAAACAUACUAGUUUUCUUUUGGACGCUAUUUAAUCAAUUUUUCCUAUAAAGAGUUAGUAUGUUUCUCAUAAAGAACUGGUACAAAAUAUACUACAAAAUUUGCCAGUUUUCCAUAAAGAACUGGUAUGUUAUGGGCAAUUUAUUAUUCUUUCUAACUUUCACAUAUUUAAUUUAUAUUAAAUACAAAACAUACUAGUUCAAUGGGUAAAAAUAUGUUAUGAAUCACUCAAAGUUUAUACUUUUAAUAGUUCAAUGGGUAAAAAUAUGUUAUGAAUAAUUGAAGGGCCAAAUUUUUACUAUUCAAAUAGUUCAAUGGCUGUUCAAAUAAUUUGCUCUUAUAUAAAUAGUAAAAGUAUGCAAAGUAUAUGUAAUUUUUAAAUUUUGAGAGGAGCUUUUUGUAACUAUUAAAAUCUCAAGGGAUGUUUGUGAAAUUAUCCCUUUUCAUUUUUCAUACUAAUUAUUUCUUUUCUUGCCAAUUUUUCAUUUUAUCCUUAUUUUUAACUUUUUCCCCCCUUACGUACGGGACGCAAGUGUUUAUUGAUGGAUGCUUAGUUAAAAUUGCCAAAAGUUGACUGAUUGCAUGCAGGAAACUGGCAGGUUUUGUUAAAAAUGUGAUUUAAGUUUACUUAACGGUCAUGUGAUUUUCACGUGACCAAUUUCGUUAAAAAUUGGCUAAAUUGCCUUUUGAGAAUGACAUUGGUAAAAAAUUCUUAAUUUAGACAUCAAAUGUGUCGUGCCCAAAUAUUGAGGGACGAAAUGUGUCCUUACCCUAAAGUUUGAGGAUAAAAAUAGGCAUUUUUUCAAUCAUAUACAUGCCAAAUCAAAGAUGAAAUAACUUAUAUAAAAUCUGAAAAAUAUCAAUAAAACUGAAAUUUAUCAUCCCAACCCUAAAAUCGGAAGAAUCUCUAAAAAAUCAAUCAAAAUCAAGUUAUCCAACAACUUAAUCACAAGAUUAAAGAACAAAAGGAGCUUCUAAUGAUUAUACCUUCCAACACCUUGAAAACAAGCAAAACAAACCCUUUUCCUCUCAAAACACUCCACCUUUAGUUUGCUAUCACCUUAGAUGCAAAGUUAAUCGGAGUAGAUUUUGACAAUUGGAAGAAAUCUCUCAAGAUUUGGUGAAGGAAAUCAAAGGAAAAAUGAACUUAACUUGCUUAGUUUUACUCCACUUGAGGUUCUGCCAGCUUGGAGAAAAAAGAUUGAAGAGUUUUUGUGCUCCAAAUGAAGUGAUAAAGAUGAAGACUUAAGUGUUCUAAGACUAAAUAAAAAUGCGCCACGUGGCAGUAUUUUGACUAUUACUUAUCAGCACUUCCACAUAUCAAACAUUUUUUUCACUUUACCCAACAUGCAUCUUAAGUAUGAUUUAUUUUUUCACAGUAAACACAAGAUAAUCGAGGAGCUUCUAUUGGAUUCUUUAGAGAGACUUCCUCUUGUCGUCCUCUUCCUACCUCACUUUCCCUUGUUGAACUUCUCUCAUAUUGUCCUUGCAUCCAUGGUGGGUAAGAUGGACGGAUUACUCUUCUAGCUUUGGAAGAUGGUAGGAUGUCCUUAAGUUCCUCAGACUCACUACUCGGCGCACUUCUUUUUCGUGUUUGAAAUGCUUUUACUUGCGUCCUUGCAAUUUCAACCCUUUGAGCUUUCUCAAGAACUUCUAUGAAUGUAGUGAUUUGAGCUGCCGCAAGAGUUUUCGGGAUUUUCACAUUUAAUCCCUGUACAAGCCUUACUCUUCUUUGCCCCGUAGUUACUAAUUCAGUGGUAAAUUUAGAUAAUUUAGUGAAUUGAGUUUCAUAUUCUGACACACUCAAGGCUCCUUGACGUAAUCUAAUGAAAUCGUCCUCCCUUUUUUCUUGGACUAAGGGCAGAAGGUAUUUCUCAUUAAAUUUCCAUACGAAAUUUACCCAAGUCCACGCUAUUUGUUCCCUCUCUCACUUAUCUCUAAUCACGUUCCACAAAGCACGAGUUGACACUUCAAAUUGAAAUACCGCAAAAGUUGUCUGUCACUCCUCUGAAUAAUUUAUCGCGGCAAAAAUAUUAAUCAUUUGUUCUAACCAACUCUCGGCUGUCUCCGGAUUAGAUCCUCCAAGAAAUUUAGGAGGAGAAAACUUCUGAAAAUACUCUAAGGCCCUAUCCCCUCCCCACUCAGGUUCCCUGGGUUGGUUAACAGGUGCUUGCCCUUGUUGUUCCAUUAAACGAGCCGAAAUAUCGGUCAUUCGUUGUAUGGCUGUUGUUACCUGAUCCCCUGUUUCGGCCUGUGGUUCAUGUUGUUGUUUAGCUGCCGUUUCUCUUUCUUCUCUUGGUUCUUGAGCUUGCCUAACCCUACGUCCACGAUUAACCCCUCGUCCCCGGUUUUUUCGUCCAUCCAUACCUUUUUUUUUUUUAUAAACUAUAUACGUGUAUGAGCAAAAAUAGAUCAGCUAUAUAUAUAGAAUAAGAAUAAAAUAACAUAGGUAAAAAUGAGAAAUACCCUUAGAAUAUAUAACACAACAAAUUCACAAGCUAAAUCACAAAAAUAUUGUACAUAUCAUCCUACCAAAAUCAAGUUCACAAAACAUGUCUAGCACACUAUACAUAGCAGUCCGCAAUACGGCAAACACAUACAUACAUACAUGCAGAACAAAACAAGAGACAACGAUUUUUCAAUUUCUCCAAGGGUAAAUUCUAAACCCCAAGUUCAUCCGUCAAAGAAAGUUCAAAAGAUCUCUACUAAAGCAAUCGCCCCAAAAAUUAUAUCUAAUUUCUUAUAAAUGCAAAUGAAUGUCAAAACUCUAAAGGAUACCUUAAUGAUCUUUAAAGUCAAAGUCAGUCCCAUAGUUGUUCAAAUAGUAUCGUUGUUCAAGAAACUGAUCCAUUACUCUUCAAAUCAAUCUCACACAAUUCUCUUCUCUUCUCGCUAAUCCAAUAUAAAAACCCUCAAAUAUAAAAUCUUGUUAUCCAUCAGGAACAUAACUGCUUAAUAUUGCACUUAAACUUUACAAUACCCCACAGUCCAGCAUUUUAAACUUUAACCUUAUGAUACACUACAGAGAUCUAAAAUCUAAACUCUGAUACCAACUGUGACGACCUCAUCUCCCCCUAAGGCGAACCAAGGGGUUCAGCGGAAUGCCUGCCCAACUCUCGCCAUAACUCGUUCACUCACUUUUCGCUUCAAGAGCAAGUAAAGAUGUGCCAAUCAAACUUAACAUAUAUACAACAAUUAACAUAGAUAUACAAUGAUCAAGGUUAAGUACAAAAGCUCAGGAUCCAACUAACUACUAAUACUAUCACUAUUACACAACAAAAGUUUUAGUCAAAAGUGUAGUCUUUCUCUAAUCACCCGUCCUUGCUCAAGAACCCUGUAAGGAAAACAAAAACUAAAGGAAUGAGCUAAAGUUCGGUUCCCAUGCACAUAUGAAAACAAGGACAUUAUUCAGUUAAUAACAAUCAAUCGAGAAAAUAUUUACAAUAUAAAAACAAUGAGAACACACUCAUUAAAAGGAUACAUGCUCACGAGGAGCCAUUCGUUCAAUCAUUCAUUCAUUCAGCCAGUCAUUCUCUUUCAUUCAAUCGUUCAUUUCUUCUCUUAUAACAUCAACAUUUCCAUUCAUCCAUUUCAUUUCCCGCCACUAGCCAAUUCACUGGCCAGUUCUCCAUCAAAUUUCGUGGUCAUACUCGAGUAUACCAAACAUUAUCCCAGGGUCACCACUCACCCGACCGAAUCCAUUUCUGGCUCGAGUCACUGGCAAUGAAGGGCAAGGGUCCAAUUUUGCCAAUGCGGUACCAUACAACCCGCAUAACUUACAUUCAUGCACAAGUAAUGUUCAAUCAGUUAAUCAUUUGAAAAUUCACUUUCGCUUAGGUCAAGUGCGAUAAAGUACACAUUCGACCAUUAAAAAUCCAUUUAAUAGUCAUUGGAAGGUAUUUAACACUCAAUCGAAGAUUCGCAACAAGUACAUGGUCAUUUAACACACAAACAUGCAAGAAACACUCACCCUAAACAAGUCGCGUUUUAUCAAAAUUCAGUUCAGGGCCAGCACUUUGGCCACUCUAGAAAUUUACAGUCAAAUAUUGUCCACAAAGAGCAAAUCAUACACCAGUGCAAACUGCAUAACUUAUAUUUCUAUAUCAAAAGAAAAAGGCGUGAAAAGUAUAAUGAGUCAUAUAGGUAAGGUGCACGCAUAAUUUGUAAAAGAAAAUGAUAAAAAACGGUUAAAUUCAAAACCAAUAUGUGCAACUAAAAGCCAUAUUUUGAAUACUUGUUUAGAAUGUUAGAAAUCAGGUUUAGAACACUUGAGAAGUACAUGUUAAGACGGACCAAGAAAACGAAAUGCAAGAGAAAGGCAACGAGAAACAAUGAAGAUGACAGCUUUGCCAUCCUUUGAUUUUUUUUAUCACAACUGAAGCUACACUUAUCGGAUCGAAGCAAAUUUUAUGAUGUUUCGAAACUAAGACCUAGACCUACACUUUCUAUGAAGAUAUCGACACUCAGUUCUCUCAUUUUCAGGGUAAAAAAUGGACGGUCAGAAGCAUAUGAAAAACAGGUCAGGAAAAUUAGAGUUUUUGCGCAGUCAGGAGUACUAUGGCCAAAUCAUAAGCUAAAAUAAUCCAAUUGAUCUGAAAUUUUGCAGGUAAAAAGUUAACUCAAAUUCCUAUAAUUUUCAUGUUUUGUCCAAAAGCUGAUUCAAUAUAAAACAUGGAGAAAUUCGCAACCCAAAUUGAUUCAAAAAAUAAGGCAGAACUGACAUUCACCAAAUUAUCUAGUUUUCUUCCAAGUUUCAACUCCCAACUCAAAUCCAAUCAAGAGUACAUCAUUACGGUACCUCUUGCUAACUUAACCCUAGAUACAAAAGUUUCUGCAGCACCUCUCCUAUUUUCGGUCCUUUUCUCCUUGAAAAUCAAGGUGUAAACCACAGCAAUUCCAAUACCAUCAAAGCCACAAGUCAUAGGAUAUUACAAGCCUUAUUCUAGUCUAUCAAAACCCAUCAAAAUUCACACAAAUGGAGAUUAACCGAAAGCCAUCAAAGCUGAAAUUUCCCAAUUCAAGUAAGAAAAUCACUUAUUGAAGUUGUAAACAUGCAUAUCAAAACUCAACUACCUUCUAAUAUGAUUGAAUAACCUAUAUCAAAAUUACAAACUUAACAAAAGCUGAAAUUUCACUUCUUAAGGUAAACUUUGCAUAUAAUCAUCACUAAUUGCGAUUAAAAACUAGAAAUUCCACAUUAACACUAAACCUGUUUCUACUAAUCAUAUACAUGCCAAAUCAAAGAUGAAAUAACUUAUAUAAAAUCUGUAAAAUAUCAAUAAAACUGAAAUUUAUCAUCCUAACCGUAAAAUCGCAAGAAUCUCUAAAAAAUCAAUCAAAAUCAAGUUGUCCAACAACUUAAUCACAAGAUUAAAGAACAAAAGGAGUUUUUAAUGAUUAUACCUUCCAACACCUUGAAAACAAGCAAAACAAACCCUUUGCUUCUCAAAACACUUCACCCUUAGCUUGCUAUCACCUUAGAUGCAAAGUCAAUUGGAAUAGAUUUUGACAAUUGGAAGAAAUCUCUCAAGAUUUGGUGAAGGAAAUCAAAGGAAAAAUGGACUUAACUUACUUGGUUUUACUCCUCUUGAGGUUCGGCCAACUUGGAGAAGAAAGAAUGAAAAGUUUUUGUGCUCCAAAUGAAGUGAUAAAGAUGAAGACUUAAGUGUUGCAAGACUAAAUAAAAAUGCGACACGUGGCACUACUUUGACUAUUACUUAUCUCGUGAUCUUUCUUCUUAGUUUUAAAUCACUCAUCUAUGUAGUGUUCCUCUAACUCACUCUUAACACUUCUAGGCAUAUAUUCCUUGGCAUAUAACAUCCGUUCAUGUCCACUAAAUUUAAUAUACACUUACUAGUGAGUCACACUACCAAAAUGUAAUAUAACUAAACACGCACCACAAUAUAAAGCAAACAAUUAAAAUUUAACUCGACUAUAAAAAUAUCUUAUAAAUUAAAGGAUUUAAACUAGAGUAGGUCAAAAUAUUAUUGAAUGCAUGCAAAACGAGAAAAUAAUUUAAAUUUUUUUUUUCAAAAUUUCACAAUCUCUCCCCUUAAAAGAAUUUCGUCCUCGAAAUUCUAACCUUCAUAAGAUUUUGGAAUGGGUUGUUGAUCCAAAGAGUAUACCCUAGCUAAUGCCCUGGAUCUGUUUCCUUUUUCUUGGUUCGGUCUAGAAGUAAUCGGAUCCCUUUGUUGCAUAUUCAACCCUCUUUGUUGCUUUUUCGGAUAAUUGUGAAGUUGAUGAUCAAUACUUCCACAUAUCAAGCAUUUCUUUCCCUUUACCCAGCAUGCAUCAUAAGUAUGAUUUGUUUUUCCACAGUAACCACAAGCUAAUCGAGGAGUUUCUAUUGGAUUCUUUAGAGAGACUUCCUCUUGCCGUCCUCUUCCUGCUUGACUUUUUCUUGUCGAACUUCCCUCAUAUUGUUCUUGCAUCCAUGGUGGGUAAGGUGGAAGGUUUACUCUUCUAGUUUUGGAAGACAGUACAGUGUCCUUAAGUUCUUCAGACUUAUUACUUGGCGCAUUUCUUUUUCAUACUUGGAAUGCUUUUACUUGCACCCUUACAAUUUCAACCCUUUGGACUUUCUCAAGAACUUCUGUUAAUGUAGUGAUUUGAGCCACCACAAGAGUUUUCUGGAUUUUCACAUUUAAUCCCUAUACAAACCGCCUUACUCUUCUUUGUUCCGUAGUUACUAAUUUAGGGGCAAAUUUAGAUAAUUUAGUGAAUUGAUUUUCAUAUUCUGACAUACUCAAGGCUCCUUGAUGUAAUCUAAUGAAAUCACUCUCCUUUUCUCUUGGACUGAGGGCGGAAGGUAUUUCUCAUUAAAUUUUCGUAAGAAAUUUACUCAAGUCCGCGCUAUCUGUUCCUUCUCCCACUGAUCUCUAAUCACGUUCCAUCAAGAACGAGCCGACCCUUCAAAUUGAAAUACUGCAAAAGUCACCUGUCUCUCCUCUGAAUAAUUUAACGCUGCAAAAAUAUUAAUCAUUUGUUCUAACCACCGCUUGGCUGCCUCCGGAUUAGAUCCUCCGAGAAUUUAGGAGGAGAAAACUUCUGAAAACACUCUAGGGCCCUAUCCUCUCCUCCCUCAGGCUCCCUGUUUGGUUAACACGUGCUUGCUCUUGUUGUUCUACUAAACAUGCCAAAAUAUCGGUCAUUCGUUGUAUGGCUGUCGUUACCUGAUCCCCUACUUCGACCUGUGGUUUAUGUUGUUGUUUAGCUGCCGCUUCUCUUUCGUCUCUUGGUUCUUGAGUUUGUCUAACUCCACGUCCACGAUUAAUCCCUCGUCCUCGGCUUCUUCGUCCCUCCAUACCUUUUUUUUAUAAAUUAUAUAUGUGUAUGAGCAAAAAUAGAUCGGCUAUAUAUAUAGAAUAAGAAGAAAACAACAUAGGCCAAAAAUGAGAAACACUCUUAGAAUAUAUAACACAACAAAUUCACAAGAUAAAUCACAAAAAUAUUGUACAUAUCAUCCUAGCAAAAUCAAGUUCACAAAACAUGUCUAAUACACUAUACAUAUCAGUCCGCAAUACGGCAAACAUAUACAUACAUACAUGCAGAACAAAACAAGAGACAACGAUUUUUCAAUUUCUCCAAGGGUAGAUUCUAAACCCCAAGUUCAUCCGUCAAAAAAAGUUCAAAAAAUCCCUACUUAAGCAAUCACUCCAAGAAUUAUAUCUAGUUUCUUACAAAUGCAAAUGAAUGUCAAAACUCUAAAGGAUACCUUAAUGAUCUUCCAAAGUCAAAGUCAGUCCCAUAGUUGUUCAACUAGUAUCAUUGUUCAAGAAAUUGACUCAUUACUCUUCAAAUCAAUCUCACACAAUUCUCUUUUCUUCUCGCUAAUCCAAUAUAAAAACCCUCAAACAUCAAAUCUUACUAUCCAUCAGAAACAUAGCUGCUUAAUAUUGCACUUAAACUUCACAAUACCCACAGUUCGGCAUCCUAAAUUUUAAAUCUAGAAUACAUUACAGAGAUCUAAAACCUAAACUCUGAUACCAACUGUGACAACCCCACCUCCCUCUAAGGCAAAUUAAGGGGUUCAGCAGACCGCCUGCCUAACUCUCGCCAGGACUCGUUCACUCACUUAUCGCUUCAAGAGCAAGUAAAGAUGUGCCAAUCAAACUUAACAUAUAUACAAUCAUUAACACAGAUAUACAAUCCUCAAGGUUAAGUACAAAAGCUCAAGAUCCAACCAACUACUAAUACUAUCACUAUUACACAACAAAAGUUAUAGUCAAAAGUUUAGUCUUUCUCUAAUCACCCGUUCACGCUCAAGAAUCCUGUAAGGAAAAUAAAAACUAAAGGAAUGAGGUAAAACUCAGUGAGGUUCCCAUGCACAUAAUCAAGCAAUUGAAACAAGGACAUUACUCAGCUAACAACAAUCAUUCGAGAUAACAUUCACAAUAUAAAAACAAUGAGAACACACUCAUUAAAAUGAUACAUGCUCACGUGGAGCCAUUCGUUCAAUCAAUCAUUCAUUCAGCCAGUCAUUCUCCUUCACUCAAUCAUUCAUUUCUUCCCUUAUAAUUUUAACAUUUCCAUUCAUUCAUUUCAUUUCCCGCCACUAGCCAAUUCACUGGCUAGUUCUCCACCAAAUUUCGUGGUCAUACUCGAGUAUAUCAAACAUUAUCUCAGGGCCACCAAUCGCCUGACCGAGUUUAUUUCUAACUCGAGUCGACUGACAACAAAUGGCAAGGGCCCAAUUUAGCCAAUACGGUACCAUACAACCCACAUAGCUUACAUUCAUGCACAAGUAAUGCUCAAUCAGUUAAUCAUUUGAAAAUUCACUUUUGCUUAAGUCAAGUGCGAUAAAAUACACACUCGACCAUUGAAAAUCCAUUUAACAGUCAUUGAAAGGCAUUUAACACUCAAUCGAAAAUUCACAAUAAGUACACAGUCAUUUAAUAUACAAACAUGAAUGAAACACUUACCCUAAACAUGUCACGUUUUAUCAAAAUUCAAUUCAAGGCCGGCACCUUGGCUACUCUCGAAAUCUGCAGUCAAAUUUGUCCACAAAGAGCCAAUCAUACACGAGUGCAAGCUACAUAACUUAUAUUUCUAUAUCAAAGGAAAAAGCCAUGAAAAUUAUAGUAAGUCAUAUAGGCAAGGUACACGCAUAAUUUAUAAAAGAAAAUGAUAAAAAACGGUUAAGUUCAAAACUAAUAUGUGCAACUAAAAAUCAUGUUUCGAAUACUUGUUUAGAAUGUUAGAAAUUAGGCUCAGAACACAUGAGAAGUACAUGUUAAGUCGGACCAAGAAAACGAAAAACAAGAGAAAGGGAAUGAGAAACAAGAUGGCAGCUUUGCCAUCCUUUGGUAUUUUUAUGACAACUGAAGCAACACUUACCGAAUCGAGGUAAAUUUUAUGGCGUUUCGAAACUAAUACCUAGAUCUAUAUUUCCUAUGAAAACAUUAUCACCCAGUUCUCGCAUUUUUGGGGUAAAAAAUGGAUGGUUAGAAGCACAUAAAAAAUAGGUCAGGAAAAUUAGAGUUUUUGUGUAGUAAGGAGUGCUCUGGCCAAAUCAUAAGCUAAAAUGAUCCAAUUGAUUUGAAAUUUUGCAGGUAGAAAGUUAACUCAAAUCCCUAUAACUUUCAUGUUUUGUCCAAAAGCUGAUUCAGUCUAAAACAUGGAGAAAUUAGCAGCCCAAGUUGAUUCCAAAAACAUGGCAGAACUGAAAUUCACCAAAUUGUCUAAUUUUCUUCCAAGUUUCAACUCCCAACUCAAACCCAAUCAAGAUUACAUCACUACGCUACCUCUUGUUAACUUAACCCUAGAUAGGAAAGUUUCGGCAGUACCUCCCCCAUUUUCGAUCCUUUUUUCCUUGAAAAUCAAGGUAUAAACCACAGCAAUCCCAACACAAUCAAAGCCACAAGUCAUAAGAUAUUACAAGCCUUAUUCUAGUCUAUCAAAGCCCUUCAAAAUUCACACAAAUAGAGAUUAACCGAAAGACAUCAAAGCUGAAAUUUCCCAAUUCAAGUAAGAAAAUCACUUAUUGAAGUUGUAAACAUUCAUAUCAAAGCUCAACCACCUUCUAAUAUGAUUGGACAACAUAUAUCAAAAUUAAAAACUUAACAAAGGCUGAAAUUUCACUUCUUAAGCUAAAUUUUGCAUAUAACCAUCACUAAUUGCUAUUAAAAGCUAGAAAUUCCACCUUAACACUAAACUAGCUUCUACUAAUCAUAUACAUGCCAAAUCAAAGAUGAAAUAACUUAUAUAAAAUCUGAAAAAUAUCAAUAAAACUGAAAUUUAUCAUCCCAACCCUAAAAUCGCAAGAAUCUCCAUAAAAUCAAUCAAAAUCAAGUUAUCCAACAACUUAAUCACAAGAUUAAAGAACAAAAGAAGCUUCUAGUGAUUAUACCUUCCUACACUUUGAAAACAAGUAAAACAAACCCUUUUCUUCUCAAAACACUCCACCUUUAGCUUGCUAUCACCUUAGAUGCAAGGUUAAUCGGAGUAGAUUUUGGCAAUUGAAAGAAAUCUCUCAAGAUUUGGUGAAGGAAAUCAAAGGAAAAAUGGACUUAACUUGCUUAGUUUUACUCCUCUUGAGGUUCGGCCAGCUUGGAGAAGAAAGAAUGAAGAGUUUGUGUGCUCCAAAUGAAGUGAUAAAGUUGAAGACUUAAGUGUUCCAAGACUAAAUGAAAACGCGACAUGUGGCACUACUUUGACUAUUACUUAUCUCUUGAUCUUUCUUCUUAGUUUCUAAUCACUCAUCUAUGUGGUGUUCCUCUAACUCGCUCUUAACACUUCUAGGCAUAUAUUCCUUGGUAUAUAACAUCCGUUCAUGUUCACUAAAUUUAAUACACACUUACUAGUAGGGAUGUACGCGAGCCGAGUCAUAAUCGAGUAGCUCGCGAGUAGCUCGGUCAACGGCUUGGCUUGAACUCGGGUUGACCGAGUUCGAGCCGAGUCUCGAGCUACUCGAUUGUCAUUCGAGUCGAUUUUCGAGCCAAUAUUUUGAGGCUCGAGACUUGUCGAGCUACUCGUCGAGUCGGGGGUAUUUAAAUAAUAUAUUUAUAAUUUAAAUAAUAUAUACGUAUUAUAAUUAUAAAAUGACCAUUAUGGGUAUAAGUUUUACGGAAUUUACAAUAAAAUCUUCUUUAUAAUAAAAUUUCAUAAUGGCAAAAAAGUAAUAACAUAAUUGUAAAAAGACCUAAAAAGAAAAAAUGUCUAAAAAAGGGAAGAAAAGACGAAAGUGUGUCAAAAAGCUUGAUUAGGCUCGACUUGAUAAGGUUUGACUAAAGGUCGAGCCUUAUUGAGUCGAGUCUCGAGGUUAAAACGAGUUUCUCGAGUCAAAUUUCGAGUAUCGAUUUUUUGUACUGGGUCGAGCUCGAGUCGAGCUCGAGCCUAGGUAUAUAUGAGUCGAGUCGAGCUCGAGUAUAGCAAUACUCGAGCUUGAUUUGACUCGAUUACAUCCCUACUUACUAGUGAGCCACACUACCAAAAUGUAAUAUAACUAAACACGCACCACAAUAUAAAACAAACAAUUAAAAUUUAACUCUACCAUAAAAAUACCUUAUAAAUUAAGGGAUUUAAACUAGAGUAGGUAAAAAUAUUAUUUAACGCAUGCAAAACGAGAAAAUAAUUUAAAUUUUUUUUUCAAAAUCUCACAGCUUUGAAGCGAUCCAUCUCUCCUGUUGGCUUAUAUUUGGUCUUAUAUACCCAUUUCACUCCAAUUGGCUUCCUUUCAGGUGGGAUAGUGGUCAAUUCUUGUGUAUCAUUUUUCGCAAUGGCAUGAAUUUCUUCAUCCAUUGCACGAACCCAAUGAUCAUCUUUGGCAGCUAUGAGAUAGGCUCACAAUCUGCAAAAAGAGAAAAAUUCACAAUCUCUUCAUCAGUUAAAUCAUUAUCUUUACCAACAGCAUAAUCAUCAAAUCGGGCUAGCAUGUGGCGUUCUCUCUAUGGUCGACUGGAUGUCUCAACCUGAAUAGUGGAAGGUGAGGGAUCACCAUGAGGCUGCACAACUUGCUCCACUGCUUGCUUAUUAGCACUCGGUCCUAUAAUGGGAGAAAUGGAUGGAUACUUUGGCGAUACUUCAGGGUCUUGUUUGGACCAAUCCCAAACUCCAUGUUCAUCAAAAGUCACAUCUCUGCUAACAAUCACCUUUCCUGUGUUUGGAUUGAAUAACUUAUAUCCCUUAGUCUCAUGACUAUAUCCAAUAAAAAUACACUUCUCUGCUUUGUCAUCCAAUUUCUUCCUGAAAUGAUCUGGAACAUGCGCAUAUGCAAGACAACAAAAUACCCUGAAAUGAGAAAUAUCCAGUUUCAUACCAAUCCAAACUUCUUGUGGGGUCUUCCCAAAGUUGCAUCUAGCAGGGCACUUGUUCAAAACAUAAAUAGCACAAGAUACUGCUUCUGCCCAAAAGGAUUUAGGAAUACCUUUGGAGUGCAGCAUAGACCUCACCAUGUCCAUCACAGUCCUAUUCUUCCUUUUAGUCACACCAUUUUGUUAAGGUGUAUAUCUGGCUUUCAAUUGAUGUUUUAUGCCACUUUCCACCAAAUAGUCAUCACAAAAAAGAUACUCAGUGCCUCUGUUAGUUCUCAAAGUUUUAAUAAAAUAGCCACUCUGCUUCUCUACAUAAUAUUUGAAUUUUUUAAACACAUCACAUGCAUCAUAUUUAUUUCUUAAAAAAAUACACUCAUGUCUUCCUGCUGAAAUCAUCAAUGAAGGUAAUAAAAUAUUUACUACCACCAUUGGAAGGAACUUCAACUGAGCAUAAAUCUAAAUGAAUCAAUUCAAGUGGUCGAUUAGCCCUCCAAGCCUUGCCUUUUGGAAAAGGAUCACUGUGCUUCUUUUUCAAAAUACAAGACUCACACUUGUUGUCAGGAAACUCAAUAGAAGGCUACUCAAUAACUAAUUUCUUUUUUUCAAGAAAUUUCAAACUCCCAAAAUUCAAAUGCCCAAAAUGCAUAUGCCAUAACUAAGAAUUAUCACAAGUCACGGAAUUAAAGCAAGGUAAAUCAUCACAGUUAAGGGAAAGAGGCCACAGACGACUACGAUUCAUCUUUAUCUUGGCAAUUAAUCCCAAUUUUCCAUCACUUAUGGUGCCCUCACCAUAUUUAAAAUGAGGAUCAUAACCUUUCUCAAAUAAUUGUCCCAAACUCAACAAAUUAUGAUAUAAACUUGGCACAUAGAAAAUAUCAGAAAUAAAAUUCGAAGACCUAUCUUGCAAGAUAAUUCUGAUUUUUCCUUUUCCAAGAACAUGCACUUUUUCAUUGUUUCCAAAUCUCACAGAUACAUGAAAAGAUUCAUCUAGGUCAGAAAACAUCUCCUUUUUACCGCACAUAUGAUUACUACAACCAGAAUCAAUAAACCAAUCAUUCUUCAUAGACUCUUCAGAUGUAGAACUAGAAAACAACAAGGUCUCCUCUCUAUCACUACAAUUUUCAGCCACUUUAGCAUGCACCUCUUUAUUGGACCAACAUUCAUUCUGAUAAUGACCAAUUUUAUCACAAUUAUAAUAUUGGACAUUAGAUCUAUCACGCCUUUGAAAAUUAUUUCUUUGACUUUACUGUUGAUUGUUUUCCUGAUCCCUAUUAGAAUUAUUUCUGGGUUGGUGAGAAUAAUUACCUCUUCCACGACCACGAAAGUUACCUCUACCUCCAUGCCCUCUACCUCUGAAGUUCUGGCCCUUUUGAUUUGUGUCCAUGUGAUUUACCUCCUCUUUUCCUUUUGGGUGAUCCACCUUGGCUUGUAACACCUCUUCUACUAUAUCCGAUGGCUGCUGAUUCAGGGACAUCUCAUACGUCAGCAAUUCACCUUCCAAUUCAGCAAGUGGCUAAUUGUUAAGGUCCUUUGUGGCUUCAAGGACUGUCUUCUUGGUGUGAAAUUUAGCAGCUAGAGAUCUCAAAACUUUUUCAACAACUCUAACCUCUUCCAAAUUCUCACUAUUGGACUCCAUAUCAUUGACAAUUUCUUUAAUUGUACCAAUGAAAUCUUUAACUGACUCCGUGGAUUUCCUCUGGGCCAACUCAAAUUGUCUCCUAAGUUCUUGCAAUCUGAUUUUUCUCACGUUAGCACCUCGAUUUGAGUUCACUAAAAUUGUCCAAAUGUCUUUUGCCAACUUUGCAUGUAUAAAUUUUUUGCAACGUGCAACUGGACUUAAGUGUUGAGAUAGUACAUUGCCUUGCAAUCCAACUGUCUAUUUCUCUCUAAUUCUUUAACUGCAUCGCUUGAUAAUUCUAUAUCUACCACCGGUUCCAUAUAUCCUGUCUCGACAAUAUUCCAAACUCUAAUAUUUUGGAAAAAAAUUCUUCAUCAUUGACCUCUAAGCCUCAAAAUCGCUUUAACCAUCGAAGAUAAAAACGUGACAAUUGUACAAAUAAUGUGGAUCCACACUUUAAUUUCAUGAACAAGCUCCAAGCCCCGAUUUUGCAAACAAGGCCCAGGAUCAAAGCCUAGGACUCUGAUACCACUUGUUGGGACGAAGAAUCCCCAUGCACACAGCGGAAGCAAUUAUAACACAUAUAAAAAAUAUAUGUGAAGAGCAAAAGAACAAACACUCAAUAAUUUAUUUAAUUCAAAACAAAUACUAAGUCGUAGCCUUUCGGUCGCAACAACUUACAAAUCUCAACUAUGAGAUUUUCUCUCAUGUCUAAUCUCUAGACUCAACUCAACUCUCCACACAAUAACCUACUAGACUAUUAGUAUUUAUAGACUCCAAAAUUUCCUAAAGCAAAUACGGUUGUAAACCAAAACUUAUUUGGAAACUGACUUGAGAUUUCCUAAUCUAAUAUGGAAACUAAACAAAUAAGAUACCAAAAAGAAUUAGGAAACUAAAAUAGCUUGGUUUAUUUUCCUACAGUAAAAUGUACAAAAAUUUGAUUAGUGUGUAAAUCUUUGUUGACCAUUCCAUUUCUGAUUGUUUAAGUUUUGUACUCUUACACAUUUGGCAGCAUUUUAUUUUACAUUAGUAAACCAAGAAGUUUGCAGUAUUAUUAUACUCGAUCUUUUUUUGUUUUUUAAGGGUAAGUUACGUCAAAGGUUGUCAAACUUUCAAUAGCUUCAUUUUACUCUUGUAACUUUUUUUGGUACUAAAUGGUCCACUAGUUUUUUUUAAAAAUAAAUUUAUUGUACCCAUUCAACUACUUUUUGAACCAAAUAACCUACUAAACUUUUCAAGUGAUUUAUCUGGAUCGUUCUGUUAGAUUCUACUCUUAAGAUAGAUAAAAAGUUUGCCAUGUAGUCCUAUUUUAAAUGGAUAAUUUUGUUAUUUCACACCCACAAUCUAUAUGUCCAAAUCAAUUAAAAAAAUGUAUAGCUUCAGGAAAACCACAAAUUCUGUUUUGGAUAGGGCCAAAAAUAGUUUCUAUCACGAUCGAGAUUUUAUUUUGGGAUUUAGGUGUUUUAAAAAGUGAUUGAAUACUUUAAUCCAUUGGGGCAGAUGGAUUUUAGGCGCACAAUGAUGAAAUUGUCCAUUUAAAUCGGGCUCACAUGACAAACGUUCAUCUAUCUUAAUGGUAGAAUUUAACAAAAUAGUCAAGAUGAAUCACUUUCAAGAGUUUAAUAGGCUAUUUUGGUACAAAAAGUAGUUGACUGGGCAAAAUAAAACUUUUAAAAUGUUUGGCAUGCAGUUUGAUAGAAAAAACAGUUCAAUGAGACUUUUAAAAAGUUUGAACGUCUAUAAUCAACAAGUAGCAACCUUAUAUUAUUUUCUAAUGGCUGAUAGAAAGGACUAAAAGUCUAAAACUGUUCCUUGUCACAGUCUUAUCUACUCUUGUCUAUUUUCAGUUAACAAUCGUCCAAUACUUCCAUCAAAAGAAAAUCCACACAUGAAAAAUGAAGUGAUAAACCUUAACUUAUUCAGUAUAAAGUCAACACCAAACUUCUCUCUUUCUUCUCGCUAGUUGCAUCUUGAAUGGAGUUACUCUACAGCAUCCUAAGUCUCAUUUUUUCCGUAUUCUGGAUUGCUGUGAAGUUUCGGUGCUACUUCCCACAGAAAAACAGAAACUUCCCACAAAUUUGAUAAUUUGUCUGGUAUAUUACCAGAUACAUGCACUUGACAAGAGAAAUGCAAAUGGCUUGAAGGAGUUGUUUAAGCAAAUGCAUUGAUGGAUUAACUUAGCUGAAGUUAGAAAUACCACAGGAUUUAUAAACUAGCAGUAGCGAAGACAUUGGUUUUCUUUGAAAGCCGCAUGGAGUUUUUAUUUUUGGAAAAUAAUAUUCCAUACUAACACAAUUCUAUGAUAUAGGAAUAGAAUAAGGGGCAAAUUACACUUUAUCGCCCUGUGGUUUAGUGUUUUUGUAUAUUACCCCCUAUGAUUUUAAAAGCUAUAUAUAAUCCCUUCAUGGUUUGGAUUAAAGUGUCAAAAUAACGGAAUUUGCAAUCCAUAAUGGAGUCACCUAAAAUGUCAAAAAUACCCCUAUGUAAAGUUGAAAGUUAUUUAUUAACCACAGGAGAGUUAUGUGUAUAUUUUAAAAUCAUAAGGGGUUAUAUAAUAAAAUAUUAAAUUAUGAGGGGGUUAUAUUUUAAAACAUAAAAUCAUAUAGGGUUAUUGCGUCGGUAUAUUAUAUUUAUAUAUUUUGAUCAUUUCACCAUUUUAAUUUUUAAACAAGGGUAAGUUUGACAUUUUAAAAGGUUCCGGAGUUAAUGAUCAUUUUCAUGAUUUUGACACUUUAAUCCAAAUUAUGAGGGAGUUAUAUAUAGUUUUUGAAACUAUAGAGGAGCUGUGUACAAAAAUACUAAACCAUAGAGAGGUAAAAUGUAAUUUGCCCUAGAAUAAAAGAUGGUCCACCUUCUAUUUCUUAGAUUGCGUAAUUUGAGUUGCUUUAUGUAACUGAAUUCUUUAUCAUUAAAGUGUCACUUUCAUUUCUUUUGGGUUGUUGCUGGAGCCUUCACAUAUUGUUAAAUUAAAAAAUUAUUCUUAAAACUUAAUUUAGUUGGUAGGCAUAUUUUUUUUUGAGGUUUCUAAUUCGACUUUCAAGCCUUUCUCGUGUAAAACUUUGAGUGUUUUCUUGAACCAAAAAAAUUAAAUAAAUAAUAUAAAAUAAAACAUUUUUCCCUUUGCAUCUUCAUUGAUUUUCUUGAGAACUUUUGCUAUAAGCGUAUACAAUUCGAUAUAAUACGAAUUUUUCUACACUAUGGUUAGUAGGAUGGUACUUUCGUUGGGGGAGGAAGUUGAGGAAAGUUGAUUCAGUUUCCCAACCUCUACCUGCCGACCCUCCUUUUUGCUUUAAUAGUCCCUACCCAAAUGAUUAAAAUAGUCCCUCAAUUUUUUUGUUCAAAAGUUUAUGUCCCUCAACUUUAGUUCAUUAGCUGAUUAAGUCACCAGCUGUUUAACACUCAGUAAUUAGUUUGUUUGGAUAGUGAAUUAAUUAAAAAAUUCAUUUUCUUACAUCAAUGCAUUUUUCAAUUAUCUUUUUAUUUUAUAUAUAUCACAUAAAAAAAGUGAUAUAGCAUCAUUUGAUCUUUUGCAUUUUGGACAAGAAAGACGUAUACUUUUUGUCUUUUGGAUUUCUGAAGAUAGAGUUUGUUGUCUUUGUCAGAGUUCAUCAAACCAUAGCUCUAUUAUCAGGCUUUCAAAUAAAACACAUUUAACUUUUUCGAAAGCAAAUAAAAUUAAGACAACUCACAACCUUUGUUUGAUGCCACUGAAGUAUUGCGGCUGGUCAUAUAUACUAUAUAAAUACUGGAUACUGCCAGCAAAUAUCUCUGGAAAGAUGCACUAAAUUUAGAUUAUUACAUGCAUAUGGAUUAAACUAUUUCAAUUUUGAUUAUUUUAGUUUUGUACCACUAUUACACUUCUGCGCUCUGACUUUGAUUAUGUUCAAUCAAAUGCUAUUAACUUAAAUUAAAAACCCACUGAUUUCUGAAUUUAAAAUGUUAAAUUACAUCAUGCAUGAUCCCAAAUUUGGGAAGCACAUGCUUCCCAAAAUGUCUUUAUUCAACAAUCAGCAGCAUAAAGCAUUUGGAAAGCACCAAAAUGUAGAAACAUGAUAGAAGGAACUAAAAUUCAUAGGCCCACGUUUCAAUCUUAUCCACCCUCUGUAUUACCGCACAUGAAAAAUGAAGUGAAGCAUGAUAGCUGCAAGUAAAGACUCUCUUCAAUGGUCACUUGUCAAAGCAACUCCACUGUGCAAUUUAUGCUCCUUAAUUAUGGGGUGAACUUCAAAUUAAAGAAAUGAUAUUUAUAGUAAGACAACUAUUAAUGAGGGAAAAAAUUACUUCCUCCGUCUCAUUUUAUUAAGUUUGUUUUCUAUUUUAGUUUGUCUCAAAUUAUUUGUCAUAGUCUAAAAGAGAAAAACAAAAAGAGACCAAUUUCCCCCAUUUUACCCUUCAUUCAAUUUUCCAAAAAAAAGAGUAUUAGCAUAAUGUUUUAGCAUUAAAUCCUUUACAAACUAUUAUAAAAUUCUCAAAUUCAAAAGCAACAAACAAAAUUUGAAUUCAAGUUAAGUGGUAUUUAUGGAAACAUUUACUUGUUGGUUGGUGAAAAAUCAGAUUCCUUAAUCUAUGUGCAAAAUUAUACAUGACAAAUCAAAUGAGACGGAUGAGUAUUAUGUGUUUUAAUGAUGUCAUCUUAGUGCCUAGAUUUGUUGGCUUAUUGUCCAUAUUUUUUGAAUUAAUGUUGUAACUUUCAGUAAGUAAGUGAGAGAUUUUGAAUCAGAAUCUCUUACUUAUGGUCUUCCCAUUUUAUUAUCUAACCCGACCCCACCCACCCCACCCCCUAUUUAUUGAAUUAAUAUUGAUGCUCAUGUAUGAAACAACUGAUACUGGUGAUUAGAGAGUGCCCAAAUGCAAAAUUACUACACUGCAUAUAAAGUCAACGACAAACAUCUUUCUCCUUGCUUCUUGCAUCUUGAGCCUUGAUCAUGGAGUUACUCUACACCAUUCUAGGUCUCAUCAUAUUCUUGAUGGCUGUAAAGUAUCAGUAUCUCCGAAAAAAGAACCGAAAACUGCAGCCUCCAAGUCCUCCAGCUCUUCCAAUUUUGGGCCAUCUUCACCUUGUGAAGACUGCCCCUCACCUUGCCCUGCAAAAGCUCUCCAUCAAAUAUGGUCCCCUGAUUUUCCUUCAUUUUGGGAUUCGUCCUUUCCUUGUUGUUUCCUCGCCAUCUCUUGCAGAGGAAUGCUUAACCAAGACCAAUGAUAUUAUUUUCGCGAACCGGCCUGAGUCAGUUUCCAGUAAAUACCUUGGCUACAACUCAACUAUUCUCAUACUCUCCCCUUAUGGAGAUCACUGGCGAAAUCUCCGCAGAGUCACAACCAUCCAUAUGUUUUCUUCGAUUCAACUCCAGCGUUUAUCCUCCAUCUGGACCGAAGAAAUCCAUUUCAUCAUCAAAAAAUUGUUUUCAAAUAACUCUGAUGAGAAAACCUGGAAAGUUAAGGACAUGAGUUCUUUGUUCCGGGAGUUAUUAUUCAACGUGAUAACGAAAAUAGUUGCUGGAAAAAGAUGGCCAUCUGAUCAGCCAGGUGAUAUAUUUUCACCGCGACCAAUCACUAAUCUUUGUGAUUAUAUUCCAAUCUUGAGGUGGGUUGGCUAUGGAGGGUUGGAGAAAGGUGUAAUCAGUUUGCACCAGAAGAGGGAUGAGUUUCUUCAGGGCCUGAUUGAUCAAACACGUAAAGAGGAAGCAGAAGACGGUUCUUGUCCGACAGAGAGAAGGAAAACAAUUAUUCAAGAAUUGCUAUCUCUACAAGAAGCAGAACCCGAAUACUACACUGAUGAAAUUGUUAAAGGAAUUAUACAAGUAAGUCUCUUCUACUUGAAUCUCUUUUACAAAUUGGUCUAUUAUUCAUUGGAACAAGGUCAUCUCACCCAUGUAGCAGCAGCACAAUUUGUCUAGCCCUAUUUAGUGGUAGGGCUAAGACUAGUGGUGCGGGAUGCAGUGCUUGUGUGGUGCAGAUGCAACUGCAUGCUUUUCACGGUUCAAAUUGGAUCACAUUAGCUCGAUUCCAUCUGAAUUUUGAAAUGAUCAAAUCAAAUCGUAGCUUGAUGUUGUGGUCUAAUCUGAGCUGUAGAAAACUCCUCCGACUGCAUAUAGGCAUCGGAUCUAGCGGUGGCGAGUGUGGAAAUGGUGUGUGCCACUAACUUCAGUGUUGGUGUCUAGAUAAGGAAUUUAGUCAAAGUCUUUUCAAAAAUUUGGUUUUCAAGAAUUUAGUACACGUGAUUUCAACAUUAAAUAUGCCAAUAUCUAUUGGUGACGGGUGAGCUGGGGCAUCCGUUAACGUGUAAAUUGGGUUAGUCUUGUUGUGGUGCUCUAACGUAGCGGGGCAGCCCGUCCCCCGUCCCCCGUCCCCCCUAAUAAAAAAUUAUUAUAUAAUUUUAUUAUGGUUAAAAUUUAGCAAAUAAUCAAGUACUAAAAUAUCAACACAUCAUCAAAUUAUUAUUCAUUGUAAUUUUACAAUUGAAACGUAUAAAAUCAAUCAAAUAAAAAUUAUUUGAAUACAAUCCAACAUUAUGAAAUAAAUAUAACUAAAGUAGUCAAGUUUUCACUUUUGGCACAAAUACAAUCACUAAUUCAUUAUUGUGCUUGUGCUUUUUUUAAGAAAAAAAUGUUAUUGUAUUAAGUGUAAUUAGGGAUUUAGUAUAAAUGUAUUAGUAAAUUUAGUAUAACCAAUUAAUAAUUUGUAUUAGUACACAUAUAUAAUUAUUAGUAUAAUUAAUAAUAUCAAUUAUAUUAUAUAUACUAAUAGACAUUAUAUAAUACAUAUAACUAAUAAUAUCAUUAUCAUAAGUUUGGAACUAAUUAAAUUAUAUAUUAUAUAUAUAAUUAUAUACAUAUAUAUUUUAUAUAUUUAUUUUUUUAAAGCGGGUGGCGGGGCGGGGGUACACUCCCCCGCCCCCCCGCCCAGUUUCUAAGCGGGGGGAAAAAAAUUCCCCCGUCCCCGCCCCAACCCCCUCCCCAUUAGCCCCCCGCGAGGCGGGUGCCCGCGGUCACCCGCCCCCAUUGUCAUCCCUAGUUUGGUACAAUUGUUAUACUUUUCACAUUAUUUGGUGUAUAAUUAUAUUAUAUUAUUUUUUUUAGAAAUAAAAGUGAUGUACAUAAAUAAAGUAUUUGACACAUAUUCAAUAUAAUAUUAUGAAGUAUUUGUACACUAAAAAAUUUAAACCUAUACAAUGGUUGGACGAAAUUGUAUAAAAUACAAUUGUACCAAAUUCCUAUUCCAAAGUAACAUAUCAAUUUAUGGCUGUAUCUAUCAUUUUACACCAUAAAAUAAUCAAAGAAUCUUUAAUGGUAUGGGGCAAUAUUUAAGGUUUUAACAAUAUUUUCCGCAACCGUAGAUUUAGGAAUCUAGUUCACAAAAUUUAUAGACACAUGAGAAUAACUUAACAAACAAAAAAGAUUAUUUUAACAAGUUACUGUCCUUUUUUUCCUCAAAAGUUUGGGAUUCAAUAUAAUGGAUGUAAUAGCCUUAAGAUGCCCUUAUAGUUUGGCUUGGCAACAUGGGAUGGAAGCAAUUGCCAAUAUAACUAUCUCAACAGUGUUGAACUUUCGUAAUAAAGUAAAAUUUAUCACAAAAUAGUGUGCACAGCUGUAUUACAAGAAUGUUAAAAAUCAGCCUCAUCCUAACGAAAAAUACAUGUAAUUGUAUCCGAAUAUUAAUUGUACAUUUUUUAAUUGUUGUUUUGUUGGCCAAAUUAAGGCCCUUAAAAUUUGGGGAAGGUUGCUGCUUGCUCCCAGUCCCUACCCCUGAUGGAGGACAAAUAGGUAAAUUCACAUUGCUGAGGUGAUAAACUGACAAUUGAUACACGUGAUGAUAUUCGGCAACGGACGAUAGAAGCAAAUCAGAUUAGAUGAUGAGACAUUAACCAUGACACUUGUGGCUGGGUUUAAGUCAACGGUGGAGGCUGUGAGAUAGUUUUAGAAUUGGUCGUUACGAAGGCACAUCAAUGUUGCUUUUGAACCUUUGUCCUGGCUCUUUUUGAAAAAUAUACAGAAAAAUGUGCACAAAUCCAAAAAUUAAUCACAUCAAUGUUCUUUACAACAGAAAAAUCAAACCACGUCAACUAGGAAAUUUUUGGACUUUUUUUUUAAAAAAAUCUAUCAAUUACUAAAGACAUUUUAAAAUGUGUUCAUUUGAGUACAGGUAUUUAAGGUUAAAUGCAUAAAACUCCCACGAACAAGUACACUAAUUGCACUUUACAUUCUAAAGUAUUUUAAUAGGCACUUUACACCUUUAGUUAACUAAAAAAUUACAUGAAAAUUAAUUUCAUCCAAAUAAUUGAUGAAAUGAUUAAUUAUCCUCCAUUAAAACUUAAGUAAUAAAAAUACUAUUUUGGUGGGGAAGAUUACUAAUUUAAAUAGACUAAUUUUCACUUUAUGUCAAAAUGUCUAAUUGUUAACACAUAAAAAAUCGAUUUGAAUGACGAUUAAGGCUAUUGGAGUCAAAAUGGGGGCAAAAUAUAGAAAUAUUGAGUGAUUAAUGUUGCAAUUUUUAAAAUUCCAUAAUUUUCUUCAAUGCAUCAUAAUGCAACAAAAUUUCAUUUGAAAUAUUCACAAGCAUAAAAUAGGAGUAGAACCCAAAAAUUUGCCUAUGAAUUUAGCACAAUAAUUGCAAUAAAAUUUCAAUAACGAACCAAAAUUAGAAGCCAUAUAUUAUGAAACAAAAUAUUGGGCUAAAAUUUUUUAAUAAAACACCUAAGUUAUUUACUUUUCCUUGACAACAAUCUUUUCUUACCUAGGCUAACUUGAAAUACGUCGUGAAGUAAGGUUGAUGAGAUUCUUGAAUUGAAUUUAUUCCUUUUCUUGUUUUUUUCCUACUUCUUUUGUUUAAUUGUCAUUCAAAGUGAUCAUAUUUUUAUUGUUAUAUGUUUCCAAUUAGAAUUUUAUUAUGAAGUGAAAAUUAAUCCAUUUAAAGUCACAAAUUUUUCUACCAUAACGGUAUUUUUGUCACUUAAAAGCUUUUAAUGGAGGAAAAAUUGGUCACUUCAUCAAUUAUUUAGAUGGAAUUAAUUUUCUCAUUAUUUUAUAGUUGACUAAGGGUGCAAAAUGCCUAUUAAAAUAGUUUAGGGUACAAAAUGCAACUCGUGUAAUAGUUCGUCAGGGUUUUCUGCAUUUCACACCCUAUUUAAUUUUGGCUUUUCAGUUUAUACUCUGAACUAUGAAUUGUGAUACUUAAGUAUUAUAUACUAUCAAUUUUAGGGCACAUCGUCCAAAUAAGAUAAAAUCAAUUAAUUCUUUCAGCAACUUUAGAAUGAAAUACUUUAAUACCCCUAAACGAAUUUCAGAAUUUGGACAAACAACAAAUUAAGGAUAUUUGAAGCCUUCUAAACUACCUAUAGAAGAAGUUAUUUGGAUUUGAGUUGAUUUGAUCAAUGGGCCAACAAAAGAGUAGUAUAAGAUACCGAAGUUCUAAAAUUAGCAAUUUAGAGAGCAACAAGCAAAUUGGUGAUAAUUUAGGAGUGCAUAUUGGCAAUAACCCAAAAAAAGUAGUUCCUUCAUGCCUUUACAUAUAAUUGAGGUCUAAAGAUAUCAAAUGCCAUAAUAUAUAGUUCCCUCAUGCCAGAAUAGGGGUUCAUUUUUUCGAAUAUCACAUGUAAUUCUCAUAUUUCGCUUGAACCUUCUUAUGUGACUAGUGGACAUUCAUCUGCGAGCAAUGUCAAAAGUGUAAAUUAUUGAUUCAGGAUCUAUAGCAAGAGAAAUGACAUUAUUUGUCAACAACUUGAUUCUAAAAACUAAUUCAUAUUCUUUUCUUAUUCAUUCAAAAAGUUGCAUUGAAUUUGACUGUACAUUACUUCUUGUGUAGAUAAUGUUGUCAGGCGGAACCCAUACUACAUCUCAGACAAUGGAGUGGGCAUUGUCCAGCCUAUUAAAUCACCCUAAUGUACUGCAAAAGGCAAGAGAUGAACUAGAAAAAAUGCAGCCUGGCCAUCUGCUAAAUGAUUCGGAUAUCUCCAAAUUGCCUUAUUUACGCUGCAUAAUCAACGAAACACUAAGGUUAUUUCCUGCGGCACCAACUCUUGUGCCUCAUUUUUCAUCUGAGGAUUGCACCAUAGGAGGCUACAAGGUUCCUAAAGGUACAACUUUGUUAGUGAAUGUUUGGGCCAUUCACAGGGACCCCAAUCUUUGGGAAGAGCCCAACAAGUAUAAGCCAGAAAGAUUUGAAGGAAUGGAUGAGAGAGGGUGGAAUGAAGGGUUCAACUUUCUUCCAUUUGGAAAAGGCCGGAGAAUUUGCCCAGGAGCUGCCAUGGCCAUAAGGUUGGUCGGGUUGACAUUGGGCACCCUGAUUCAAUGCUUUGAUUGGGAAAGAGUUGGGCCUGAAAUGGUGGAUUUGGAAGAAAAUCAAGGAUCAACUUUGGGUAAGGCCAAUCCUUUGGAGGCAUCUUACAAGCCGCGCCCAUCUAUGAUCAAAACAAUUUCUCAGCUUUAAGUUAGAUGUGUUGUUCUAUUAAGAUAAAUUGGGAUUUCUUUUUUUUUUUCUGAACUUAAAUAUCAAGAAAUAAUUGUCUGUUCUUUGGUUUUGAGCACCUCUUACAAUUUCAGAUUUGUAGUUGUAACUUUCUUUCAAUACAAGUUAAUGCUCAAAUUAUACAAACUCAAGUAUUUUACAUGGAAAUGCGGAACAUUAAAUGAUUCUAAUUCUACACUGUGGAGAAGGAGAUGGAAAGUACAACCCCACAAGCCUAAUUAGGCGUCUUAUUUAUUCACCAAUCUAAUUGAACACCAGGGAGCCUGAAAACGGUGUGAAGAACCAAAACGAAAUAAUCAUUAUACCAGUACAGUAGUAAUUGCACUGCUUUUAAAUUGAAUAUCAUAGUUUGCCCAAAUUGCAGAAUUCAAAUAAUAAGAGUUGAACGUAACAAUGACCGGAGAAAACUGGGAUCCAUGGUGACCCUAAUGUUUGGGAAUGAUGGAAGGGGGAUGCAAUGAAGGGUUCAAUUUUUUUCCAUUUGUUAAAGGGAAGAGAGCUUGUCUAGGAGCUGCUUUGGCUAUGAAGUUAGUUGCAUUGUCAUUCAUGUUCGCCGUCACGAGUUGCUGUUGCUGGUGUUCCACGUCUGUCACAGUAUAUUGGUUGAAUAUUGGGUAAUAUGUAUAUUAUAGCACAUGAAAAUUUUCAAAAAAUCUGAAAAAAUUAUUAAAAUUAGAUAAAGCCAAAAAAGGCACAAUUUGAAAAAAAUAUUCGAGUUGAUUCCCAAUGGAUUCGAAUAUAUUGGUCGAUACCAUACAUCACGGAUUUGAAUUGGUCGAGUCAAAUCGAGUCGCCACAGAUAUAUUGUUAUCCACAAUUCAGCGAUCAGUAUCGUGCCUGUUUCCUCCGUUCUGAUUACGACUUGGCUGAUUAAAAUAUUCCUAUACACUAAGGGCUUGUUCUAAAACUGCUUAAAAUAUGGGAAUCCCUUCCCACAUCGACAGUUUCUUGGCUUUUUUUUAUCAGUGGUCACAUAUUGAAUAUUCCUAGUAUUUAAUGUCGCAUUCAAACAUUUCAAUUUGACAAAAACAUGCUAUGACAGGGCAACAAGACAAAGAAAUAAAAGAUGCAUUUUCGUAUGCAAAUUGAAUUGAGCUCAUUGUGACAAGUGACAGCCUUCGUUGAUGCCACUACAAUGUCGGGGCAGGUCAUAACAUGAAUAUGUAAAAUUUUUUCAGAAAAUAUCUUUGGUAAAAUGUACAAAAAUUUGAUUAGUGUGUAAAUCUUUGUUGACUAUUCCAUUUCUGAUUGUUUAAGUUUUGUACUCUUGCACGUUUGGCAAGAUUUUAUUUUACAUUAGUAGACCAAGAAGUUUGCUGUAUUAUAGUCGAUCUUCUUUUGUUUUUUAAGGGUAAAGUAUGUCGAAGGUUAUCAAACUUUUCAAUAGUUUCAUUUUACUCUCGUAACUAUUUUUCGUACUAAAUAGUCCACUAAAUUUUUUAAAAGUCUCAUUUUAUUCAUUGAACUAUUUUUUUUAAUAAGAAAUGGCUCAUUAAUUUUUGUUAAAAAUUUUCAUUUUACCCACUCAACUUCUUUUUUUUUUUUUUUUUACCAAAAAACCUACUAAACUUUUAAAGUGAUUUAUCUGGAUCGUUUUGUUAGAUUCUACCAUUAAGAUAGAUAAAAAGUUUGCCAAGUAGUCCAAUUUUAAAUGGAUAAUUUUUUCAUUUCACACCCAAAAUCUAUAUGUCCAAAUCAAUUAAAAAAUUUUAUAGCUUCAGAAAAAACCACAAAUUCUAUUUUGGAUGGGCCAAAAAUAGUUUUUGUGAGGAUUGAGAUUUUAUUUUGGGAUUUAGGUAUUUUUAAAAGUGAUUGAAUAGUUUAAUCCAUUGGGGCAGAUGGAUUUUAGGCGUGCAAUGACGAAAUUAUCCAUUUAAAUCGGGCUCACAUGACAAACAUUCGUCUAUCUUAAUGGUAGAAUUUUAACAAAAUAGUCAAGAUGAAUCACUUUCAAGAGUUUAAUAGGCUAUUUUGUACAAAAAGUAGUUGACUGGGCAAAAUAAAACUUUUAAAAUGUUUAGCAUGCAGUUUGAUAGAAAAAAUAGUUGAAUGAGACUUUUAAAAAGUUUGAACGUCUAUAAUCAAAAAGUAGCAACCUUAUAUUAUUUUCUAAUGGCUGAUAGAAAGGACUAAAAGUCUAAAAUUGUCCCUUGUCAGAGUCUUAGCUACUCUUGUCAAUUUUCAGUUAACAAACGUCCAAUACUUGCAUCAAAAGAAAAUCCAAACAUGAAAAAUGAAGUGUUAAACCUUAACUUAUUCAGUAUAAAGUCAACACCAAACUUCUCUCUUUCUUCUUGCCAGUUGCAUCCUGAAUCUUGAUUAUGGAGUUACUCUACAGCAUCCUAAGUCUCAUUUUUUUUUUCGUUUUCUGGAUUGCUGUGAAGUUUCAGUACCACAUCCCACAGCAAAACAGGAAACUUCCCACAGAUUUGAUAUUUUGUCUGGUAUAUUACCAGAUAUAUGCACUUGCCAAGAGAAGUGCAAAUGGCUUGAAGGAGUUGUUUAAGCAAAUGCAAUGAUGGAUUAACUUAGCUGAAGUUAGAAAUAUUUGAAUUUUUUAUGUUUCUAUCUUGUGCUUUCACAUCUGAAUUGAUGUAUUUUUCUGAAGUUUAUUAGGUGGUUUUGUUGAAAAGUAUGAGUAAUUUUUGUGGGAAAAUAAUAUUCAAGCCCUUGCAUUUUCAGUCACUUUUGUAUUGUUGGGUAAUAAGGGUGGUCGCAUAGGACCACAUCCCACAGGAUUUAUAAACUAACAGUAGCGAAGACAUAGGUUUUCUUUGAAAGCCGCAUGGAGUUUUUAUUUUUGGAAAAUAAUAUUCCAUACUAACACAACUUUAUGAUAUAGAAAUAGAAUAAAGGGCAAAUUACACUUUACCCCCCUGCGGUUUAGUGUUUUUGUACAUAACUCCCAAUGGUUUCAAAAGUUAUACAUAACCCUCUCAUAAUUUGGAUUAAAGUAUCAAAGCAACAGAAUUUGGAAUUCACAAUGGAGUCACCUAAAAUGUCAAAAAUGCCCUAUGUAAAGUUGAAAUUUAUUUAUUAACCAUAGGGGGUAUGUGUAUAUUUUAAAACAUAAGGAAGUUAUAUGGUAAAGUAUUAAACUAUAAGGGGGUUAUAUGGUAAACUAUAAAAUCAUAUGGGGUUAGUGCGUCAUGUAUAUUAUAUUUAUAUAUUUUGGUUAUUUUAACCAUUUUAAUUUUUAAACAUGGGUAAUUUUGACAUUUUAAAAGGUUCCGUAACGAAUGAUCAUUUCCAUCACUUUGACACUUUAAUCCAAAUUAUGAGGGGGUUAUAUAUAAUUUUUAAAACUAUAGAGGAGUUAUGUACAAAAAUACUAAACCAUAAAGAGAUAAAAUGUAAUUUACCCUCGAAUAAAAGAUAGUCGACCUUUUAUUUCUUAGAUUGCGUAAUUUGAGUUGCUUUAGGUAACUGAAUUCUUUGUCAUUAAAGUGUCACUUUCAUUUCUUUUGGGUUGUUGCUGGAGCCUUCACAUAUUGUUAAAUUAAAACAUUAUUCUUAAAACUUAAUUUAGUUGGCAGGGACAUUUUUUGUUGAGGUUUCUAAUUCAACUUUCAAGCCUUUCUCGUGUAAAACUUUGAGUGUUUUCUUGAACCAAAAAAUUAAAUAAAUAAUAUAAAAUAAAACAUUUUUCCCUUUGCAUCCUCAUUGAUUUUCUUGAGAACUUUUGCUUUGAGCGUAUACUAUUCGAUAUAAUACGAGUUUUUCUACUCUAUGGUCAGUAGGAUGGUAUUUUCGUUGGGGGAGGAAGCGGAGGAAAGUUGAUUCAGUUCCCCAACCUCUAGCUUCCGACCCUCAGUUUUGCUUUAAUAGUCCCUACCCAAAUGAUUAAAAUAGUCCCUCAACUUUAGUUCAUUAGCUGAUUAAGUCACCAGCUGUUGAACACUCAGUAACUUACAUUAUUUGGGUAGUGAAUUAUUUUUUAAAAAAAUUAUUUUCUUGUAUCACAAUAUAUUUUUUAACUACUUUUUUAUUUCAUAUACAUCACAUUAAAAAGAAUUGUACAUCACCAUUUUAUCUCGUAUACAUCAUAUCAAAAAAGUGUUGCAUUAUUUUUUCAAAAAAUUAUCCUAAAUAAUCUACUAUCCAAACUCAUAGAUUUGCAGCAUCGAUGAAAUCUUCUUGUGAGGUUGGCAUUUUUCCAAGAAGUUUUUAUAUGUGUUAUCUUAGAACAAUGGCAAUAAGCAACUCGAUUUGCCAUGAUCCGGUGCCCCAACCACGAAAUGCCAAACUCCCAUUAUUGGUCACUGUACAAGUUAAUUUAUAGAUGAUGGUAGCAUCCCAAUAUUCCUAUUUUCUUUGCCUUCGAUCCUUUUUUUUAAACAUAAACAAAUAUGUGCUUAGUCCAAUUAAGGAGGAUGGAAAAUUUGCUUUUUAAUCAGAGACUUGGUGUUCCCCGAACAUGCCUUUUGAAGAUGGCUUCCUCGUAAGCUCCCGAAGUAGAUGGCUUGGCCUCUCCCUCUACCCCGAAAAUAUCAUAUUUUUAUUAAGGGUACGUUUGGUCCCCCAUAGAAUUGGAGUGUAGAAUUGGAAUUGGAGCCCCAAUUUCAAUUCUUGUGUUUGGGUACUAUCUUUCCUGUAGAAUUAGAAUCGAACUGCAAUUCCAAAUCGAUCCAAUUCCAUGGUUCCAAUUCUUUGGCUGGACCAAAGAAUUCCAAUUCCAAUUCCACGGACAAACUUCCAUUCGGGUCAACACGCGGACUUUAAAUGGGUAAAGCUUCCAAAACGGGUCAACUAUAAAGCUGGAUUAAAAAAAAAAUACAAAGCUGGCUUCUUUCUCUCUUCUCGUGUGCAAUCGCUCUAGCGUUUUCUGCCACCACCACCGCCGGUGCCGCCUCCUCUUCCCAACACUUCACCCGUAACCCCUCCAGGCCUUUCCUCCCUCUUCUCUCCUCCCCAACAUCGUGUGGGUGAAAUCGCUAUAUCUAUUCUGCUAUAUCGUGGUAAGCUUUCGUUCCGCUGUAUCCUCUCUCUUUCUAUGUGAUUCGCUUCUUCUCUAGAUUUGCAAAACUAGGGUUAUUUUGCUAUAGAUACAGCCCAUAUGAUUGCUGAUGACCAUGUCGUAGAUGUCAAAAUCAUACAUAAAAAGUAACAGAGAAGGAAAAGAAAUUGUAAGAAUCAUCACGUUUCUUCAUAAAAGGAAAUACGAAAAAAAAGAAAGAGAAGACAAAUUGCCAUUAUAUCUUUCUUCACUUUCUGAAAAAACGAUGUUUAUGAUCUAUAGAUGUGGAUUUUCAAUGUGACUAAAAGGACUCCAGGCAUAGUAGAAACUAGAAAGGGUACAGAAAUAAAGUAGACAAGAUGUUAAAACUUAGAAACUAAAAAAGAAUUUACGACUUAAGCUAGUAUAGAAAACUUCAAUUUUUAGCAUUGAUUAAUGCUAGAAUUUAUCAUGGGACCAGAUAUUUGAGAAUACAUUUUUCUAUUUCUUUUAGUGAGAAUACAUUUGUUAGACUUUUAGUGAGAAUGCAUUCUUAUAAAGUACCACAAAUUUGUGUUGCAAUAUUUUCUAUUUAUAUUGUCAUUGUUGGUUGUGGUUUUUGCCUGAAUGUAAAGAGCAAUAUACUUGGAUUUCCGGCUGGAUUUUGCCCAAUCGUUGGAGUUGGUGGACAUAUAAGUGGUGGUGGCUACGGUUCACUGUUGCAAAGAUAUUGCCUGAUGGUGGAUAAUGUUCUUGAUGCUCAGAUUAUCGAUGUUAACAGCCAGGUUUUGGAUAGAAAAGAAAUGGGAGAAGAUCUGUUUAGGGCUAUUAGAGAUGGUGGUAGUGCUAGUUUUUGUGUUGUUUUUGCAUAUAGAAUCAGGUUAGUCAGAGUGCCUGAAAUUCACACUGUUAAUGUGCAGAAGACUGAGGCAGAGAAUGCAACAGAUGUUCUUUACAAAUGGCAAAAUGUUGCUGACAAAAUUGACAACGAUCUGUUCAUUAGAGUUCUUGUGCAGCCAAAUACUGGAAAAGUAAAGAGUCCAAAAUCAUUAGAUUGACAUUUUUGGGACAUUUUCUUGGAGAUGCAAACAGGUUGAUUUCUGUUAUGAACACUGGAUUUCCUUAACUGGGAUUGAAGAGAAGUGAUUGUUUGGAAACAAGUUGGAUUGACACGAUGCUCUGGUGGUAUAGCUACAAGAUUGGGACAGCAAAGGAAGUAUUAUUAGGAAGGGCUUUUGAUCAAUUGAUCUUCUUGAAGAGAAAAUCAGAUUAUGUACAGAACCCAUUCCUAAAGAUGAUUAGUAUCACUAUUCAAGAAAAUGGUUCAACUUGGAAAAACAAGACUUGUUUUCAAUCCUUAUGGUGGAAGAAUGAGUGAAAUUCCUGAGAAUGAAACACCAUUUCCUCAUAGGGCGGGGAUCAUCUUCAACCUGCCAGAUUGGUGAAAGUGAAGGCUACCGUGGAUCCUCAAGAUUUCUUCAGGAAUGAACAGAGCAUCCCCACUUUGAACCUUCAAACCUCUAAAGGGAGGAAGGGACGAAAGUAAAGAGCAACAAAUGAUAAUUGCUCAUAUAGUAACGAUUAUCAAGUAGCAGAGGUGCCUUGUCCUAUUAAUGGCUUUAGCAUAAAAUGUAAUGUUAAUGAAUGGAUAUAGUGAGCAUUACUUUUGUAGCAUUGUAGCACCGAAUGGUUGCUUGUGCAUUAAAGAGGCAAAAGUGAUGUACAAGGUUUUAACUGUAAGAAAAAUAUCAAGGUUUUAACUUGAUGAAUAUUAACUACUUUUUAAGUUAGAAUAUAUAAUUAGUUUUUUAUUUAAUAUAAUUUAAUUAAUAAUAAAGGAAACAAGAAUAAUAUAUAUAUUGCAAAAAAGGAACUAAUUGGUUUUCUUUUUCUUUAAAGCUUUAGUAACAAUUAGUUAAAUGCAAGAAAAAAUAAAUUAUUAAAGGCACUAAUUGGUUUUUUCCUUGAAGCUUUAGUGACAGUUAGUUAAAUAUCAAAAAAAUUAUUACAUAGGAAAAAGAAAAAAAGAAAAUUUUUAUGUAAGCAAAUGUUAGAUGGAAGCAAUUCUAAUUUUUAAUGAAUUCUUCUUUCAUCAAAACAAAGAAUUUGAAAUUCUAAAUGAAUUCUGCAUCAAUUCUAUGCAUUUUCCAAACAAAAGAAUUCCAAUAUUUUGGAAUUCCAAUUCCUAGAAUUUUAAUUCUAUAGAAUUCCAAUUCCAAUUCAAUUCCAAUUCUAUACAACCAAACGCACCCUAAGUUGAAAUCAGGGAAAAAUUAUACCACACGUAUGGAUGUUCCAAUGGCCAAUACCAAAAAAAAAAAAAAAGAAUAAUUAUACAAUCUAACUAGUCAACUACAACAACAAACCACUAGCAAAUGACUCAAGUGAAAAUUUUCCGAUCUAAGUCUCAACUCGUACUAAUCUUCCAAUUCUUUCUAAAUCUAUCUACUCUUAACAGUACAAUUUACAUCACGAACAAUUCAUUCCACCCCUAUAGAGGAUGCAGAUUUGACGAUUGACUAGCUAGUCUAUGGAAAAAAUGUAACAUUUGGGUGGUCCAAUCACACAAGGACAAAAUUGGCAAAAUACUUCGAGGACUCAGUAAACUAAAGUUAAGAGUUGAAGCACCAAAAUUGUUUAGUAAAAACGUUGAGGCACUAUUUUGCUCAUUUGCUCCAAUAAAUUUACGGAUAAAAAAAAGAUUAUUUCACCCAAGUCCACUGCCACUGGCACUUCCAGUAACUUAUUGUGGUGGUAAGUUCUUCUUCUUCUUCUCUUUCAUUUUUUUGGUUUUUCUUGAAAUUUGAUGUUUGACACACUUUCUUUGGUAAUGUCAUACUGCCAAGGUUUGUAUUAACAGAGUUGAGAAUAUAAAGGCAAAAAAAAGGUUUAUCUAUCCACUGAUGGAAAUUUGUGAAUGGUGAUUACCAUAAAAUUAUUUAUUUAUUUUUGGGUUACAUUACAUGGAAUUCAGGCUUUAUGAAAUAUAGUCAUGAUGUUUGAUCUUUUGCAUUUUGAGCAAGAAAGACGUAUACUUUUUUGUCUUUUGGAUUUCUGAAGAUAGAGUUUGUGGUCUUUCUCCUUGCUUCUUGCAUCUUGAGCCUUGAUCAUGGAGUCACUCUACACCAUUCUAGGCAAUGUUUUGAAAACCGGACCGGACCGGCCGGUUCGACCGGUUGAACCGCGAACCGGCCAUGCACCGGUCCGGUUCAAUGACAUUGUUGACUUUGCUAGAAAACCGGUCAAAGACCGGUUGAACCGUGAAAACCGCCGAACCGGAUUGAACCGGCGGUUUUUCGGUUUUCAGCUUUCCUUUUUUUUUUUUUUUUUUUUUUGCAAAAUGCAACUAUCAAGAUUCGAACCAAGACCUUUGUAAUAAAAGACCAAUGUAUUAACCGUUGCACCAUCACAUUUUAUUAGUUUUUUUUGAUAACUUAUUUAUAUAAAGCAAACACUUAUAUUUCUUUUUUCCAUUUUUCUUACAAAAUCUCAUGCUCUCAUGGCUCUUUCUUUUUAAUUUUCAACUCUCUCUCUAUUCUCUUUUCUUUUGUCACUCCCUUUUUAAUCAAAGCUCUUUAUUUUUAAUUUAUUGAUGUUUUCUUCCAUCUUUUAAUUUUGUUUUUAUCCAUUAAAUUGAAAAAGGUUAAAAAAGAAUUUUUUUUAACCCAAAUUAUUUAAUGCCACAACCACUCACUUUUAUCUUAUUUUUUGUUUCUUAUCAAGUUUACAUUUCUAUUUUCAAUUUUCUUGACUUCCUUCGAAUUCCAAAUUUUCUUUUUUAAAUUGCAAUAUCUAAAUUCCAAAACGUAAAUUAAAAUUUAAGUUCCUAAUAUCUAAAUUCUCAGAGACAUGAAUUUUGUAUAAUUUCAAAAUAUUGUGAUAUUUUGGGGUUGGAUUUAGAUAUAAUUGAAAUUGAGAUGAAAUUUAUUUGUUUUAACUUAUAAUUUAAAAAAUUUAUUUUUAAAAAUCCAAGUUAUUAAAAAAUAGUAAAUUUUUCAUCAUAUAAAAUAUUAAAUUAGUCUAUUACAUGUCUUAUUUUGUACAUAUAUAUAUUUAUAUAAAUUAUUUUUUAAAAAAUUCAUUGAACCGAGGUUGAACCGGUCCGACCGGUUGAACCUCGACCCUUUCACUUCACCGGUUCAAUUAACGGUCCGGUUUUUAAAACAUUGAUUCUAGGUCUCUUCAUAUUCUUGAUGCCUGUAAAGUAUCAGUAUCUCCGAAAAAAGAACAGAAAACUGCAGCCUCCAAGUCCUCCAGCUCUUCCAAUUUUGGGCCAUCUUCACCUUGUGAAAACUGCCCCUCACCUUGCCCUGCAAAAGCUCUCCAUCAAAUAUGGUCCCCUGAUUUCCCUUCAUUUUGGGAUUCGUCCUUUCCUUGUCGUUUCCUCACCGUCUCUUGCAGAGGAAUGCUUAACCAAGACGAAUGAUAUUAUUUUCGCAAACCAGCCUGAGUCAGUUUCCAGUAAAUACCUUGGCUACAACUCAACUGCUCUCAUAAUCUCCCCUUAUGGAGAUCACUGGCGAA
rnacentral:lncRNA from 1 species